CUAAUUUGGUAUCGAAUUCACCAUUCACGAUUCGAACAUAAGAUCUCUCACUUACAAAUGAUGAAAAAUACCACAAAACCGUAGUAUUAAGUGGCUAGAUCAUCACUAGUUACGUUAACCCUGAAAGCCUAAUGUUUGGUCUUUGAUAUUACGGCGGCUCCUUGCAUGGAUUUGUACGCCUCUUCCCAAAGUUAAAGUCCAAAAGGAAAAAUCAUUGACAAUUGAACCAAGAUAGUAGAUAACCUUUAAGCACGUGAAAUUAUCGCAUGUAUUUGACAUCCUAAUUUCUAUUAGCCACAAUGAAUUCUUCCAUCUUGUAGCCAAUUUAAGUAUUGGAUCAAGCCCACCAUCAAAUAUUUGGGCUUUUUAUGUGAGGCCUGUUUUGUAAUUUUAACCUAGUGAGGGCUUGGGUUUUUGGAGGAUUCAAAUUAUAUUUGAAAAUUUGAGCCGUUAGUGGGCAGUCCAAUGUUGUCCACCAUUUUUAUGUUAAAGAUUUGGGUCAAGAUUUUAUGGACUUUUGUGGAUUUUUCAACAUCUUUUUGUCACCAUUGAUUGUGUCCAUUGGGGCCUACAUGUUCCCCCUAUUUGCAAUUUGACCACUCUGUCUAAAGUCCAAGGUUUCCCAUAUGGGUAAAAUGCCUAAUCAUUCUUAAUUAUCAAAGUUGAAAUUAAUCUAACUUUGUUUCCUCAAAGUUAAAGGAUAAAAACUUGAGUACAGCAGACUGGGCAGUCGUGUCACGUUGUUGUCGAAUUACUCUCACAAAAAUCCGAUUUUUUUAUUUUGAUGGUUUGUGGGAUGUGGGCGGUGAAGCAUCAACACGUACACAAAAUGGGUGUAGCGGAGAUGAGGAUGCUUUGUGGGAUGUGGGCACACGAGAAAGGAUAAGAUAGGGAAUGAGGAUAUCCGAGGUAAAGUAGGAGUAGCCGAAAUUGUAGGAAAGAUGAGAGAAAAUCGGCUCCGGUGAUUUGGACAUGUGCAAAGAAGGCCGACUGACGCUCCGGUUCGAAGAUGUGACUACGGGACAGAGGUUCAGGGCCGAAGGGGUAGAGGAAGACCUAGGAAAACUUUGGAAGAGACUCUAAGAAAAGACUUAGAGUACUUAGAUCUAACGGAGGACAUGACACAAAACCGAGCGCAAUGGCGUUCUAGGAUUCAUAUAGCCGACCCCACUUAGUGGGAAAAGGCUUUGUUGUUGUUGUUGUUGUUGUUGUUGUUGUUGUUGUAUGGUUUUUUCUAACUUUAUUGAUUUUCAUCAAGUUUGUCUGAGUAAUUAUACUGCAACAGUUAUACGAAUAUUUGUACCAAAAUUGUUUUGAGAUUAUUGUUUUCUAAGCAAAUAGAGAGCGGUAAUUGAAUUUAAGAUACUAGAAGCGAAAUAUCGCUAAAAACUAGUUGUUGUAGUGAAUUGAGUUGGAGAUGAGAAGUGUAGAUGGAAAACUGUAAAAUUUAGCAUAUAAUUUUUAUUUUUCUCAUUUUCCAUUUUAGGAUAUAAUAAAGACAUUGUGUUGACAUAUUCUUCUUUUUAGUUAGACAUUCAUAAUCAUGCUCAUUAAAUGCGACCAGAUUAUUUUGACCCAACCAAUAUGCUUUCUAUGUUAUGACCAAAAAGAAAAAACAAAGAACAAAUAUGCUUUCCAUGAUUUUUCUUUUAGGUGGGAAAAUCAUGACAUAAUAUAUAGAUUUCCAAAAAUAAAUUAUUAUUAUUUUUUCUCAGAGAAGAACGAACAAUUCUAUCAAUAACCAUAAUACAACUUGAAAUCGAAAAAUUUGCCCGACGAUUAACUAUAAAAAAGAAUGUUCGAAAUUUAAUCCCCAAAACUAAAUUGUUCAUAUCAAUUACCUAUGAGAAUCGAGUUUGACCGGUUAAAUUGUAAUCUUAGGUUGGAAAUAGAGUUUGACGGGUUAAAUUGCAAUCCUUAGGUUGGAUAUUAGUGAGGAGACUGGUCAUCAUUUUCUAAAGGCUAAAACUAAUGCGAUUAGUCAUAUUAAUUAUAAUUUUGGUUAAAGUUUUUUAGUAUUUUUAUAAUUAGAGUUAUAUGCGAUAGAGUUUGACAGGUUAAAUUGCAAUCCUUAGAUUGGAUAUUAGUGAGUCUUUUAGAAAUGCAAGGAGCAUGGUGGGAAUAAAAUAUAUAUAAAAUCAAGAAAUUGACCAUAUAAAAUAGAAACACAAAAUUAAGAAAACAACCAAUGGCAAAAAGGGAAGGAGAAAAAUAAAAUAAGAAAGAAAAAAAUAUGAAGAAAAAUCAAAACGGCGCCGGACCGUUUGUAAUAUAAAUAUUUUUGUUAAUCAUUUAUUCUUUUAAGGAAAGACACUCUUAUUGCAAGACUUGCUGUUUCAUUUUCAAGUAGAAAAACAAACACACAGAGAGAUUAUUUUCAAAAGCGCUUUCGAGGGUACAAAAAAGCACCUCACCACAAAUAAGCACUUUCAGGAGGAUCCCCAAUCUGAUCUGCUGAAUUCUCUGUCUUCCUCUCAAGUUCCCAAUUCCAUUCUGUAUAUUCAUGUAGAUAUCGAUCAAUUCGUAUCGAAUAACAAAAAAUUUUGAAAAAAAAAUUCGAAUCGGUGGUCCUCACAUUUCUAGGGUUUCGCGAGCCGUUUCUGUCAUUUCUGCGCCAAUUAGGGUUUUAAUUUCGGAGGAGGAGCCGGAAGGGGGAUGAAGAUGCGUCGGAUCGCGGCCUAGGUUUGCGGAGGUCCCGAGAGGUUUGCUCUUUCGAGUGCAUGAAGAUUUGGUGCUGCCUAUGCUUCACCCAAGGAGACGAACCAGAAGAGGACGAUAGCGAGGCGGAGGCGAUCAUGAAGGAGGGGGAUUUUGGAAAUGACGGCAAUUCGGAGGGCGCCAUCGGAAAUGGCGACGAAAUUGACGGCAAUGCUCAGAGUUUGGGGCUGGUGGGGAAUGAGCGCGGCCGUAAUGACCAUCUGGUAUUGUUCGAAGGGAUGGUUGAGGCAAUGCGUGGUGGUGGCGCUCAGUGGGAUGAGUCUGUUUGUGUUGGUGCUCUUGCGUCGUUGAGGGCCUCGAUUGGGAACCCUUGGAUUUCCGAGGGCGAGAGUAGCUCGGCUGCAGAUAAUGGCAGUGAUCACGAUUCGCACCAUAAGCGAGCCAAAGUUCAAUCCUUUAAUCAGUGAGUUUCUCACUGUAGCUCCUUAGUUUUGAUCGAUUGGUAGAUUUUAGAUAAUUUGCCAUUGGUUACCAAAAUUUUCACCUUAGUAGUUAGUUGGGGCUGAAAUAUUUAACUUUUUUGUUUCAUUACGAAUAGUUUAGGGGUUUAUAUGUUUUAGAUUAUUUGGUUUCAGUAUAAUUUUAUUUUCUGCUGGGAAUAGAUAACAUUACCCUAAUGAGUAUAUGCUAUAUCUAUUAUUUGGUUCCAUUAUAAUAUUUUUCAGCUGGGAAUAACGAUACUCAUGAUUGUCUGCGACAUUAUUUCUUGCAGUAAUUUCCACCAUGCAAUGGCUAUGGCUUCAGGUGCUGGAAAUUCCAGUUCAUCUGCAGAAAGAGACUACAGAAUAAAUGAGAGCUCUUUCAUUCCAUAUAAGAGCGAGACAUUUUUUCAAAAUACUACUCCUAUUGGCUGUGAGGAGGGCCCCUUUGAUUCUGGCAGUGGUAAGGAUGAUGACGGUGAUCAUAGUGGCACCUCAAAAACAGAAGAUUUAGAAGUUCGGAUGGAUCUUACAGAUGACCUAUUACAUAUGGUAAGCAUUGCCUUGCGUAUAUUGCAUAUAAUGAAGGGCUAUUAUCAGUUUUGGUCCUAAAUUUGUUUAUUAUAAAUGUCAUUUUCUCCUGAUUCUCAGGUUUUCUCUUUCUUGGACCACAUUAAUCUUUGCCGAGCUGCAAUAGUCUGUAGGCAGUGGCGAUCUGCUAGUGCUCAUGAAGAUUUCUGGAGGUGUCUGAAUUUUGAGAAUCGAAGUAUAUCUGUGGAGCAAUGUGAGUUCUACUUUAUUUUUGUGGUAUACUGGUAGUAAGUAUAAAAAUUGAAGAUUUCUUUGUGCUAACUGCCCAAGUAAGUAGAGAAUUUGUACCAGUGGUCACUUAUGUGUUUUUCUUUUUCAUAUUUUGGUAGGUUUUCUGUAUGUAAUUUUUACUGCUUGUGUUCGGACAUGGCUAAUGAUAUGGAUAAUGCAUUUGGGAAGUAUUCAUUUAUUAGAUUAAAAGUUGGUUGGUUAUUAUUACUCAGAGUUUGUGAGGCAUGGAUAAUGUGUUUGUUGAGUUCAUAAUAUUUUAGUUUCCAUUUGUAAAUUUUAGUGAAAGUGUAAAUUUUAAUAAAAGUCUAAAUUUAUUCUUUGACUAAAAAUACUAUAUGGGGUCAAUUUGAUAUUAUAUAACUGAAUCAGAAAAGUUAAAAUAAAAAAUUAUUUUUUUAACAUGUCAAAUUGUAUGCUUAUCACUCAUUUUAUAUGGAAUUACAGUUGAGGACAUAUGUUGGCGGUAUCCCAAUGCCACAGAAUUGAAUAUUUCUGGUACCCCUGCUAUUCACUCGCUUGUUAUGAAAGCUCUCUCUUCAUUGAGGUAAAUUGCUUUUCUAAAUAUUUAUGCUAUUGUAUUUAUUCUUUGAUAUAGUUUUCAGUUCAAGUAACUUACAUUUUUGUUUUUUUUUUCUCAGGAAUCUCGAGGUUUUAACCCUAGGGAAAGGGCAACUAGGGGACAUCUUUUUCCAUUCCUUGGCAGACUUUCAAAUGUUGAAAAGUUUGAUCAUCAAUGAUGCUACUCUUGGUAAUGGUAUCCAGGAGAUACCUAUAAACCAUGAUAGACUGCGUCAGCUUCAAUUAACAAAAUGUCGUGUUAUGCGGAUAUCCAUCAGGUGUUUUUUUUUUUUUUUUUUAAUUAAAAUUGAAUUGUCACAUGCUGUCUACUUGGCUACAUUUUUGUGCUAAAUCUGAUUUUUUGCAGGUGUCCUCAACUUGAAACUCUGUCAUUGAAACGCAGUAACAUGGCGCAGGCUGUUCUUAAUAGCCCUCUUUUGCAUGAUCUUGAUAUAGGCUCUUGCCACAAGCUUUCAGAUGCUGCAAUUCGUUCAGCGGCAAUCUCAUGUCCUCAAUUAGAGUCAUUGGAUAUGUCAAAUUGUUCAUGUGUUACUGAUGAAACUCUACGUGAGAUUGCUCUUGCUUGUGCUAAUCUCCAUGUUCUCAAUGCGUCGUACUGUCCAAAUAUAUCUCUUGAGGUUAGUUUGUAGUGGUUUUCGCCAUCCUUUUUUUAGUACCAAUAUUUGUUUAUUUUAUUUGACAUGCUUCUGUGCCUUGUUUUUGUUUUGAAGUCUGUAAGACUGCCAAUGUUGACAGUUCUUAAGCUUCACAGUUGUGAGGGCAUCACCUCGGCUUCAAUGGUUGCAAUAUCUCAUAGUUACAUGCUUGAGGUAUGAAUCUGGUCUCAAAUAUCAGUAUUGUUUGUCUGUCUCAUUGAAUGCCUUUAAACAUAUUAAUCUGAUUAUUACUCAUUGUAGGUUUUGGAGCUUGACAAUUGCAGUCUACUUACCGCUGUGAACUUGGACCUUCCACACUUGCAGAAUAUUAGACUAGUACAUUGUCGCAAGUAAGCUCAUGUUCUUCCAGUACCCAACACACCCCCCCCGGUGGAGAGCUUCCCAAUUGGAGAGGAGAAUUUCUCUUAUUUGUUUAUAAAAUUUUCACCUUGCAUGUUUCUUCUGCAGAUUUGCUGAUUUGAAUCUACGAUGCAUCAUGCUGUCAUCAAUAAUGGUCUCUAACUGUCCUGUGCUCCAUCGUAUCAACAUCACUUCAAAUUCACUUCAGGUAAGUCUUUUGAAGAACCAUUUAUAUUCUUUUAGUGUUGAUUUUAUUAGACACAUGAAAUCUGAACAAGUGGUCUUUGGAAUUUGCAGAAACUAGCAUUGCAAAAGCAAGAGAGCUUAACCACGCUGGCACUGCAAUGCCAAAGUUUGCAAGAAGUGGACCUUACAGAUUGUGAAUCUUUAACAAAUUCUAUAUGUGAUGUUUUCAGCGAUGGUGGUGGGUGUCCUUUGCUCAAAACGUUAGUUCUUGAAAACUGUGAGGUUUGUCAAUUUAUCUCUUCUCAUUACCUGAGUUAAUACUGUUUGAGAUUUGAUUACGCUAGCUUAUGGGAUGGGAUAAAUUUUGCCGUUUGGAAUUAUUUAUGUAUUCUUAUGUGACUCUGUAAAUUGAUGCAAUAAACUUGUGAGUUUAAACCAUGUUGUCAACAAAUGCAUGACCUGUUGGUCAUUCCCCUGAAUCAUAUUGGGGGUUGUGAAAAACUCUUUGAUUAUUAUUUGUUCCCUGAUACUUGGACUGUUAUUCAGGGAGGGUUGAACUCAUUCUUAAUUACUUGUUUGGUCAAUUGAGAUAUCUGCUGGCUGAUCUUAUGUAUACUUCCUUUGGCUGACAUAAUCUCUUACUUCACCCAGAGCUUAACCACGGUUCGAUUCUGUAGCACUUCUUUAGUCAGCCUCUCACUUGUUGGUUGCCGGGCAAUUACAUCUCUCGAACUGACUUGCCCCUAUCUUGAACAAGUUUCUUUAGAUGGUUGUGAUCAUCUUGAAAGAGCAGCAUUUUGUCCAGUAAGUGAGAAUGAUUGUAAAGUAAAAAGAUUUUAUGAUAAUUUAUGAGUUUUACAAUGUGAAUUAUGUUGCUCUUAUAUAAAGCCAUGAGAUGCGCAGACUCUUAUCACACUUUUUUCACUACAUGUCAAUUCUGACAUUAAGCAGUCAAUAGAAAACUGAAUCUUUUCAUUCCUUUCUUCAGGUUGGUCUUAGGUCACUAAAUUUGGGAAUAUGUCCCAAAUUGAAUGUGCUCAGUAUCGAAGCGCCAAAUAUGGUGCUGCUGGAGUUGAAGGGAUGUGGUGUGUUAGCUGAAGCAUCCAUCAAUUGUCCACUAUUAACAUCUCUAGACGCUUCCUUUUGCAGGUUAUUUUCAUUACUUUUUAGUACUUUACCUACCAGCCUGCUCUGAUCCCUACUGUUUCAGUCUCAAUUAAACUCAAAUCGCUCAUAAUUUGCACAUGCAGUCAGCUUAGGGACGAUUGCUUGUCUGCAACAGCUGCUUCAUGCCCAAUGAUAGAGUCUUUAAUUCUAAUGUCAUGCCCCUCUGUUGGUUCUGAUGGACUCUACUCAUUGCGCUGGCUUCCAAAUUUGAUUCUGCUUGAUUUGUCCUACACUUUCUUGACAAACUUGAAGCCAGUUUUCGAGUCUUGUAUGAAACUUAAGGUGAUUUUUACAGCUCAUACUUUGUUGAUUUGUUGUUAAAUUUAGCAUGGUGAUCCUCCUACCAUAGGAUAUUGAUAUUUCAUGUACUUUGAGCAGAAUGUGGAUGUUUCUUUAUUUGAACUAAAAUUAGAAGAAUCUUGGGCAGAUUUUUUGGAUCUUAUCUUUUCUUAUCUUUUCCCAGGUGUUGAAGUUACAAGCCUGCAAGUACUUAUCUGACUCAUCAUUGGAGCCUCUUUACAAGGAUGGGGCUCUUCCAGCUCUCCAAGAACUGGAUUUGUCUUAUGGAACCCUCUGUCAGUCUGCUAUCGAGGAGCUUCUUUCUUUUUGUAUGCACUUGACUCAUGUGAGCUUGAAUGGCUGUGUGAACAUGCAUGACCUGAAUUGGGGUAGCAGUGCCGGGCAACCUUCCCUAUCUGGCAUGUUUUUACCUGAGAAUGUCCAGGUGCCAAUUGAGCAGCCAAUCCGGUUACUGCAGAACCUCAACUGUGUAGGUUGUCCAAAUAUUAGGAAAGUUGUCAUUCCACCAGCAGCACGUUGUUUCCACAUGUCAUCUUUAAACCUUUCUCUUUCUGCAAAUUUAAAGGACGUUGAUGUUGCUUGUUUCAACCUCUGCUUUCUUAAUUUGAGGUAAUUCGUUUAUUUAGUUUGAACAUCUCUUUGUAUAUUUAGUUCUAGAUUUUCAUGAUGUUUUGUCUUGCCACUAACAUUUCUGUCUUUUUAUUCAGCAAUUGUACUUCUUUGGAAGUUUUGAAGCUUGACUGUCCGAAAUUGACUAUUCUCUUUCUUCAGGUACGCAUUCUGCCUCUUAUGUUGUUAUAUUUAUACGGAUUAUCACCUUAAAAAAAAUAUAUUUAACUCCAUGUAAAAUUCAUGUUUGACCAUACCAACAAAAUGUUGAAAGGCAUGGAACCUGGGAUUUAUUUAUUUUUUUAAGUGACAUGCAUUUAGACUUUUUUAAUAUAUUUUUUGCUUUCUAUAAAAUCAUUUUAAUUUAGUUUACUGCUGGUCCCUAAUUUCAUUUUCUUGCUGGGAUUUUGUAUUAGUCUUGCAACAUCGAUGAAACAGUGGUGGAAGCUGCCAUAUCGAAAUGUAGCAUGCUGGAGACUCUUGAUGUUCGUUUUUGUCCCAAGGUUAGUACAAUCUUCUACACUCCCCCGCUAUAUCGUUGUAAGAAAACCUGCCUCUUAUAAUACAAUCUAAUACUGUCUUUUAUGGUGAUUGACAGAUAAGCCCGACGAGCAUGGGGAGAUUACGUGCUGCAUGCCCUAAUUUGAAGCGCAUAUUCAGCAGCCUGCAACAGUCUUGAUUAUAGCAAGAAAUGCAUCUUUUCUUCCGCGGGGCUUAUUUGACUCGGCUUUUAGUCCAGCAAGCAGAUUUGGUCGUCCAUCCCAGAAUUUGUAUGUAAAUCAUAUUGUGCUUGUAUUUAAUUUAGGUAUUAUAUAGGUAGCAGACAUAGGCUUCAUAUGUAAUCCAUACAAUGAGUAAUGUUUGCUUUUAUGUUGACCUAGUGUUCGUCUUGAAUUUGAUUUUUCCGCGACGAGUGGAAUUCUAGACCAUUUGAAUUCUGUGUGUAUAGGGUACUGAAUUUGGUACUGCCUUUAUGUAUACAAUAAAUUGUUUUUCUGGAUUAAUUUUCCUUAGUUCCUGUUUUCGAUUUCCUGGAAUUUUCAUAAGGAUUCGCCAUUUCUUUACCGUAAUUUCAAAAGAUGUAUGUAGUCGAUGUAAAUGUUCUGCUGACCAGUUUGCUUCAGGUCCAUCAUGAAAAACACUUUGAUGAUCGUCUUGGAAGGAUUUGGUUUCAGGUCUUCUUGUACGAGAGAUGCUUCGACAUGCGGGCGAAAAAUAUACAAAUCAGGUAUGUGUUGGAAGAUUUUCAUAGCUCAUGAGUUUACAGUAUUGAUUCCAAUUGCUUCAGGUCCGGGUCUGAAAUAUCAAGAUCUGCAUUCUCUAACGAGUUCCUGUAGGAAUCGGCCGCGAUCUUCCCCUUGCUAGCACUACUGAAGAUACAGUUUUGAGGAGGCUGCAAAGAAGACGGUUAUCAGAAAUUGUAGCUUUGUUGUGUAUACGAAAGGAGAUGAAGAUAAAGAUUCACCUGUCCAGUGCAUUAAGGGCAGUAUCAAUCUGUGCCUUCAUAGAACUGACCGGAGCUCGUUCAUUCCUCGUUGCGUGCCAAAGCAAAGAAUCCAGCUCCUCCAAGGCCCUUCAAAAAUAAAAAAAUCCGGGUCUCAAGAUUGACAUCGGUCAUAAGCUUGUUACUGCUCUCUUGUAUCCAGUUCAGAAGAGCCAUGUUUUCGCCGGGACAGUGAUGGUACCUGAGACAUUGAUCAACAUCGCUUGAAGCGGUUUUCCCAUUGCCAUCAUCGUCUGAAGCAUACCGCACCACCUAUAGUUCCGGUAAACAUUUCCGAAGCUCUUAGGAGUUCAUAAUGUACACAAAAAACUGCCAACUUACAUAAAGCAUGUAGACUGAUGCUACUCGAGGAAACCUCUCACCUUACAGCUCGAAUAUUUACGCGAAGUGAUGCUGCCGGGCCUGAACGCAGCAGAGACCGGCAAGUAGCAAACUGGGGUUGGUCACCUUCCAGAGAUUUCUCUGCAGUUGUUGAAACAUUACAACAAAUUUCUACCACUUUAACGAAGUGACGAUACACCAACAACAAAAUCUUAUUCCAUUAAGUGAGAUCGGCUGUAUGAAUCUUAGAAUGUCAUUGCGUUCGGAUAAAGUAACAAUAAAUCGUCGAAAAUUACAAGAGAGAAAUUGACGAUCAAGGAAAGCAAAAGCAAAGGAUAUUACCAAAGUCCUUGAUUUGUAAUUGGGUUAAUAUGACUGGCGAUACAUAAGCCUCGAGAGGGUCGAGUUUUUUCCUGAGUUUAUCAUAUUUAGGCAUUCCAUGGGGUAAAAACCCUUUUUCAGCCUGUAGCGGAAAAAUUUAAAAGUACUCUUAGGUCAUAAAAUCGUUUUCUAUAGCUAGAAGCACUUGGGUUGAAAAAAAGAGAAGACUGUAAUUCUAACAAAAACACUUCUAUCAAAAGCAUUUGUGACCACAAGUGUACAUCAUGUAUUCUGAAAUGGUCCUGUUGAGACUCGUCUGGAAUGGCUUCUCUAAAAAGCACUUAUGCUUAUAAGCUACAAAACUGCUUUUCUAAUAAACAAGUUCAACUUUUUGUUAAAAAUCAAAGUACUUCUUUCUUCUAAAUUUUUCAACCAAAAGCAAUCAGUUGCGCCUUUCAAAAGGCGCUUUUAGCCCCCUCCCAAAGCUAAAGCUUAAAGCAUCCGAAAGAUGAUGCAAUAAUAGCCAAGCACUAAUUAAAUAAAGUAAAUUGCAACGACCUUUUCACAUACUUAUCGAAUCCGCUGCCGGCAACAGCAUCUGCAUUAAACCCAACAAUACAAGUUUAAGUUUUGAUUAGAAAAUUUUUAAUUUUCUUUCCUGCCAAACAGAUAAUAAGGAUCUACAAGGCGUACGGUUAGGGACAAGGAGCAAAUUAGAGACGGCAAAGACACAGAAGAUGGAGACAAAUCUCCUGCUUUCCCGCCAAUUCGAUGGUGGCGAUGCGCACCUUACUCGCCGCAGCCGCGAGUUUUUCGACGUUGCGGCGAGCUUUACGGGCUAUGAGAGAGGGACAGUUGAGGAGCUGAAGGGUAGCCCAACUAGGCGCCCGCCUAGGGCCCCACUUCAGGGGGCUCUCAAAUUUUUUAAUUUUUUUUAUAUAUAGGGAAGUGUUAUUGACAUUCUAAAAAUCUCAUCAUACACUCUUUACAAGUGUAUUUUUCUUUCUAAAUAUAGAAAGUUUGUAAUAUAGAAUAAGAAUUUUGGAGUUCCAAUCAUAAUUUUCUAUAUAUAUAUUUAUAUAUAUAAUUUUGUCGUUUGAGUAAAAUAUCUAAAUAUAAAAUUAUAAAUAUUUUUUUGGAACUUGCCGUGCAACGUUUUGGGUGGGGGGGUCCAAAAUAUUUCUUUUUAAAUAUGUGUGUGUGUAUAUAAUAUAUAUAUAUAUAUAUAAAUAUAUUUUUAGAGUUUGAAUUUAAUAAAAUAUUUAAAUAUAAAAUCAUAUAAUUGUCUUGAAACUUGGCGUACAAAGUGUCUUGGGUGGGGUGAAACUUCAGCAACAAUUCAACUGUUUUUUGGGAAUUUAACGCACAACAUACUGGUAGCAAGUCUGCGCUUGCGAAUCGGUUCUUUCCCACUCCGUUUAUAGAGGUCAAGUACCCGAUCAAUGCCCCUCUUCUCUUCUACUUCUUUUUCUAUAAUUUAAUUUGUGAGCGUUGUGUUUGUAAAUAUAAUUAGGAUUUUCGAUUCUAGGGUUUAUGAUUUGUUUAUUUUAAUGCAUAUUGUUUAUGUGAAAUCAGAGUAUUCACUUGUCAAGUGUCUAUAUUGCAGUUAUAAAAUUCAAACUUGUGGAUGCACUUAAUAAAGUGGUUAAAUCCCUUCAAGAAGAUAAAUGGAUUAUGGGUGCACUUAACAAGGUUGGUUACUUUUGCUUUCUAACUAGUUUUGGUUCAAGAUAAUUCGAAUUUUCAAUGUUGAAUUUUACCGUAUUUUUUAUGCGCCUCGUUUUGUGUUGUGUCAUCUGUAUCAAACUUUUGUGUUGGGUAGUGGGUAAAAUUUGAAUUUUAGUUUGUUUCUUUGUCAAUUUGUUGUUUACAGAAUAUUGAGUUGAUUCCCGAAUGCAUGGUUGUUUCCCGAAUGCAUGGGUUGCUUAUCGUAUUUUGUUAACCAUACCAGUUACAGUUGCCUCUGCAGAAAGAAGUUUUUCACAAUUAAAGUUGAUUAAAUUGUAUCUUCGAUCAACUAUGUCACAAGAAAGAUUGAAUAGGUUAGCUAUUUUAUCAAUUGAAAAAGAAUUGUAAACUUAAUUAAUACAUUUGCGUCUAAAAACACGAGACGUGUAAUAUUUAAGUAAUGUUUGCAUAUCUUUCUUCUUUGGAUAUGAAUUCUAAUGAUUUUUUUAUGUAGAAAUGAACUUUUUCAUGUAUUUAGUGAAACAUUUUCUUAUACAUAUAAAUGUACAAUGAGUUGGGUAAGAACUUUAGGACCCCCACUCAAAGGCUCGCCUAAGGCCCCCAUAUUCUUAGGGCCGGCCCUAGGUGCUAACGUGCGCGGUGCCGCUCAGUGUGACCAUGCCACCAAAGCUGUCUUAAACAGAUCAGAUGUAAAGAACUCUGUGAGUUUUAUCCGUUUGUACAUUUGAGUUGGUCCCUAAUAAUGAAAAUUGAUAGAAGUGGUUUUAAGUUAAGUUUGUCCAUUAUAAAUCAUUUUCGUCAUUCCGUAAAAAUUUAUUAGUAUCCUCGUUGUAUCCUCGUUAUUUGUCACAUGACCACGUUUUUUUAAGGGUGCUUUAGUCAAACUAACCCUUCCUCUUAACAAGAAUAUUGACAUAUUUUUUUACGAAAUUAUCACUUCUAUCGAUUUUCACGAAAUGACCCCUCCACUUAACAAAUGAUGAACUAAGGACUAUUUCUUUCGAUUUUCAUUACCAAAUAUCAAAAUAAAAAGUUAUGAUAAUCUCAUAGAUAUCUUGGCUGAAAAGUCUAACAACUAAUUAACUAACCAACCUCUGUAAUUAAAUGCUCUUAUAUUCUCUCCCUAGGCCACCACAAUCAUCAACUGUCUUAACUGUCAAUAACUGCAUAGCAACAUUCAGUUAAGCCAUGUUGUGUACCAAACUGCCAAUGAUUGGCAUCAAAUGUGAAGGGGCUGAACUUUGAAGGAACAUUUAUCCAUUAUCCAAUAGUUCAUUUAAAAGUGUUUUUAAAAUGAUUGAAAGUGUUUUUAGAGAAAUAUUUUUGGGUUUCAAAAACACUUCGUAUGAGCAUCUUACAGGAUGCACGUUAAGUGUUUUUUAAAAUUUUUAAAUUUACGUACAUAUUUACCAAUAAUUAGUUCUAAAAAUAUUUUAACUAAAAGAGUUUUUACAUAUUUUAAAAGACUUCUAAACCAGCCCGAAACACGGAUUGAAUUCAAUGACCCGGUUGGUGGCCUACAGCAUCCCCACAAGGCCCACAAACACAAGUUUUCUCCUUCCUUUCUUUAUAAAAUUAAUUAAAUUUAUAAAAAAAUUAAUCAAAUUAAAAAAAAAAAAUUAAGAAUAAAGGGUCCUGCCUGCCCAGCAAAUAAUAGCUGUCCAGUUCUAGUAAAUCCCGGACCCGAAGUGAAGCCGGCGCAUUACUUACUCAUCCUCUCCUCCCCUUAUUCUCUCUCUCUCUCCCGAGCUUCAGCAACGAUGGCGGCAAACAGUACAUGGUUUCUCUUUCUUGUAGCUUCUGUACUCAUCGUUUCAGCUUCAGCUGGCACCCAAAGUAAGUCCCCAUCAAGUCCUGCAAUAAAAAUAUAUUCAAAGUUUCCAUCUUUCUGCAUAUAUUUUAUUGCAAGAGAACAAUGCAAGUACAAAAUGUUGGAACUUUGUGAUGCCUGUCUUAGAUUUGGAACAUAUAUGUCUAAUUGGUACUGAUACUAAUUGUUGGAUCUGCUGCUUUAAGGUUGUUGGGUUUCUGUUUCUUUAGUUUGAACUACGAAUGUCUCGUCUUUGAUGUACUUUCUCAAAUGUGGAUGAACUUUUCAUCUCUGCAUUUCCAUAAAAGUCUGAAUUUAUUGGUUGAGAGUUUGUUGUGGACUUGGAUCUUUGGGUCAAAGAUCAGAGCUUACAAUUAUGGAUCUUGGAUUUUUUUAUGUUUAGGGGUAUGCUUGAAUUUUAGCAUAGCCAAGUUGGGUAGAGCGGUGUGAUCUCCACUAUGCACCCAAGUUCGAAUCACCCUUCUCGUAAUUUUGAUUAGAUUUGAGUAUCGCUCGAAUAAAAGAAAAGGGCGGGUUUGAACCAAUUACAAUAUUUUCUUCAGUUGAAGGUUUGUUUUCUGGGGACCAAAACAGCAGAUUAGAUUUAAGAGGUGGCCUGUGAGUUGGGAUGCAAUGCAACUAAUAACAUUGCCAGAUUUUGAUUUCUAAAUUUGGCGUUGGACCUUUUAAAUCCUAAGGUGAUUCAUUUUCCCCCUAAUUUGAUGCUGUGCUUAUACGAAUUCGAUACAUUUUAGAAUCUACAUGGUUUAGUUUUUCGCUUCCCGCUUUUCACCACAACUCUUGUUAGGUUCAGUUGUUUUGCUUCAUUGGAUUCAUUUUUUUAACUGUAUUGGGUGCAGUUUUCGCUCCAUUAGGGUUCGGUUUUGCUUCAUUGGGUUCAGUUUUUCGCUUCAUUGGGGUUCUGUUUGGCUUUAUCAGUUACAUGCUCUCGGAUAGUGUAUUCUUGUAAGGAUCAAAACAUUUCUCCUUAAUGGUUAUUCAUUGUGUCGGUAUUAUUGUAUUUGCGGCUCACAAAAACUUAUAAACUCCUACUUAUGAGACCAUGGAUGAAAAUUGCAGUCAAAGUUACUAAUAACCCGGCGGAUAAGCUAGUUGAUAUAAUUAACAGCAACAGAACUGCACACAAAGCAUCAUCCCUCUACGACAACCAGGGUUUGGCGUGCAUUGCCCUGCAGUACAUAAAAGCGUACCAAGGUGACUGCGAUGCUGUAGGAGGGUCCGACGCCAAGAAGCCUCCUGAUUCUGCAUUUGCCGAAACAUUUGCUCCCAACUGUGGUGUUCAAACCUCAACCCUCGCUCCAAUCACUGGUCGUUUAAUUGGCUGCCAGUCCAAAUAUGUCCACGCUGACGAAGCAUUUUCGAAAAUCUUGAUUGAAAACAGCAAGGCCUUGGACAUUCUCUACGAUAAGAACCACACUGAAGUGGGAGCUGCUGCGAGUGGCAGUGAUGGUGGAGCUCCGUAUUUCUGGUGCGUGUUGUUCAGCAGCGGAAAAACUAACAGCACCUUUGUAACGGAGGGAGGUGAGGCUAAAAUAACAAGGCCCGGAUGCUUUAGUGGUGCUAAUGACGAUUGCAGUGAAUCUAAUCACCCAGCCAGUGGUGCCGAUGAUUGGUCUAGAAGCAGUCGUCUGUGGCCAUUUUUCACCACGGCUCUGAUUGCAAUGUCGUAUGCCUUUGGAUUGUGAUCAUGAUCAUGUUUUUUAUGAAAAAAGCUGGAUUUGUUUUCUACUUAAUUUUGGGGACCCUUUUGAUCUGUUGUAAUUUGAGUUUUGUCUAUCGCAUUUGUUGUCAGUAGAGUCUAACGGCGCGAUCAAUGCCAUUCAUUUUCUUCGGUUGUAAACUAGUACAUUAUUGGCUAAUGGCUGGCUAGAAGCAUUUGUUCCAUAUUACAUAUGAACAAUGAACGAUCGGUUCGGUUCAAAUGUUUUCCUAAUUUGGUACGACUGGAAAGAUAUGGAGAUAAGAAGCUGCUUACUCUUAUUUAUAUAAGCAGAUACAUGAACUUUGUUCGGUACAACGAUGAGAAAUUACACAGCGAAACGAACAAGUACUGCAAACGAUUUGAGCUUAAGGCUCCCAGUUCCUAAUGGAAGAUUUACACUUCAAAAUCAAAGCCAGAACCAUGAGAAUUAUCGUUAUACCACACGAAGAACCGCCAACUCUGUGAAUCCAAUAAGGAUCAAACCUGGAAAAGCUUCGGUCUAAGUAAAGCGACAAAGCAAUGGCCAAGAUCAACACCAAGAGAAGAAGAGGCAGCCAAGAAGCAAAGUUGAUAGGCUCAUCUGGAUCAAGCUCUGAAUCAUCUAUAGUUCUUCGGUCGAUAUAGAGAGGAGAAAGCACGGCUAGAAGGGCCAACCCUAUCGCCACCAGCUUAUCGUAUGACGAAAACCUGCUCGUCCUCCUCGUAGCUCCGAGCUCCAUUUUAAGCUACCAACACAGGAGCGGCAGGAGAAACCACCUGCUGUUUUCUGACUUGGAUGCUUUUUGAAAGAGUAGAAGUUAGCAGCUUAAACAUGAAGGCUCAAGUGCAAGAUAGAGUGGGAAAGAUAAACAUGAAGGCUCAAGUGCAAGAUAGAGUGGGAAAGAUUAUUCUCCAUUAACAAAAAUUUAUGAAUAAUUUGUACUGGCUGUGGCUGAAUAAUAAUUUGGAAUCGGAUUCCACAUGCUUCCCAUGAAUUUUUCACUCUCGUCUUACUGAGUUGAAUCUGUUGAGAGUAUCAAUUCCAUAUCAGAAAAAUGAGGAAUCUUCAAUGUGCUUAUAAGUAGUUGAGCUAUUCCCCACGUUGCCAAUUGGUUUUAUGAUAGAACCUCAACUUUCUUUAUGGUAUCAGAGCAAGUUGUCCGCGUGUGAAGACUAGCGAUCACACGUACCCUACGCCUCCCGAUUCGUGUUGUCCACAUGAUAGACUUGAAAAUUCGCUACACAUAUGGGUGUGUGUUGAGAAUACCAAACCCACAUCGGGAAAAUGAGAGGGGCCUUGCAUGUGCUUAUAAGUUGUUCUGCUCCUCACGAUAUGCCAAUUGAUUUUAUGGUGGAACCUCAGCUUUCUUAAAAAAUCGUUAAAAUGGUAGCAAAUUUGAUAUUCAUAUUUUAAUUAUUUGCACUCUAAAUUGAAUAUUUUAUAUUUUUUCUGCACGCUCAGAAACAUGCAAUAGGCUAAAAGACGAGCAUUAAAAUCUUCGGCCUAGUUGAAAAUAAGGAAAACUAAUGACACUACUACAAAAGUGGCUUAUUAUGUCGGUUUUAUAUAAUAUACUAGCGGAUAAGACAUUUCCGACACCCUCCUUACAUGUUGUUGGAAUUAAUAUCGGGUAUAACCGACAUAAACGGUUUAUGUCGCUUAUAACUGACAUAGACUGUUUUUAAAUAGUGGUGUCGUAUGAAAAGAAAACCGUGUCGCUUUCAACCAACAUAAAGUUAGUGUCAAUUAAAAAAAGAAUCGUGUCACUUCUACCGACACUAAUAAUUAUAUUUAAAUAUUUUAAAACCUAGUGUUAGUUGCAGCCGACACUAAUAAUUAUUUUUAUAAAGGAAGUGGUGAAAUCACACACACUUAACUACAAAAUUUAGAGAAGGCGUGGGACAAGAAUUUUGCAAAAUUUCAAACAUCUUUGAAAUUUAAAAAUUUCACAACACUUCGGCACACUUCUCAAAAUAAAAGGGAAGUUCAAAUUUUAUUUAUUGGUUUAUCUCGUCCCAUCAGCUAGUAACUGCGAAACUCCCCCUCCCUAAAUCGUGAGAAAUUUUUUCGAUUUUCUUGCUUCUUUCUUCCUUUUCCACAUUGAGUCCUCAAGUAUCUCCACCACUCUCUCUCUCUCUCUCGCUUUCUCCCCCUCUUAGGUUGGCUACCAAUAAAAUCCCAAUUCACCACUCUUCUAUUUCCUCGGUAACCAAACAGAGAACCCAUUUUGUAAAGCUCCCAACUUUCUCCUUCAAUUGGAUUAAAAUUUGUUAAUUUUGUGUCAAAUGUUGACUUGAAACUUUGUGGUUUAGUUUGUGAAGGGAAUUUAUGGAAAUGGACAUUGAUGAGCUUCUGGGUCGCAACCGGCCGAUGAGCAUUUCAACGAAGAGGGCGAUUUACUUGUGGAGAUAUAGCAAGUCCGAGCAGACGGGUCAGAAUGGGAAGAAGCAGCAGUUGAAGAUCCCGAAGCAGCUCUCCGAAGCUUUUUGGGUGCUCGGCGAGGGCUAAUUGACGGUGGCUAGACAUUGCUUGUGACCGCUAGCAUACCGCCUUUGCUGCCUCAGAUGGGUUGCUUUUCACUUGGGGUAAUUAAGCUUCAUCUUUUUUAUUUUAUUGUUUUAUUUUUUUAUAAAUUUCAAUUCUUCCAUUUUUUAAUUUAAUCAAGUAAUUAUAAAUUGUGUUUGGUUUAUGUGCAUUAGAUAACCAGAAUGUGUAAGCAAUUGUUCAGGAGCUAGUGAUUUCGGUCUGUUAGGAGAUGGAACGAAGCAGUUAAAAACUGAGACAGACUUUAUUUUUAUUUUUAUUAUUAAUGGUUUGUGGUGUCACUUAUGGACGACAAUAUAAUUGUUAUUUUAUUAUCAAAUUAUUAGGUGGUGUCUCCAUCCGACAUUCAUUGUCAGUAUUUAAUGUCGCCUUUAUCUGACAUGAGCCUUGAUGUCAUUUUUAACCAAUGCUACUGUCCUUUUUUAUUUUAUAUUGCUUUCCUUCUUCGUGGCGGAUUAAGGGGACUAACCGAUGUCGAUACCCUUUUCGUGACACUAGCAAUGGUGUUGGUUCCCCUAUCCGACAUUGCAAGAUUUGAUGUCGAAUUUUUGGUAAAAAUCCAACAGUAAUUGGGGUUUCUUGUCGAUUUUUACACCGCCAGGGAUAGCCUCUUUUGUAGUAGUGUGAAAAUGGCUUGAAAACUUUGAGUUUUAACAAAAAUGACAAAAAUGUGUUGUAAGUGAAUAGUAUCAAGAGUGACUUUUUUGAGUAAAAAUGUCCUUAAUGUUAAAAGUGAAUAGUAUCAUGAGUGUUUCAUUAAGAUUCCCUUGAAAAUAUUACUAAAGUUGAUUAAUUUAUCAAGAGAAGGAAUACAGGUACAGGCAAAACUACCCAAAUCAACUUAGGUCUAAUGAAUAAACCCAACAAAGAAGAGAUGGGGGACUUCACAGUUCAAACUUUUCUCUUGGCAUGGCUUUUUAUCUGCAUCAUCUUUCUUAUGAUGAUGUCAUUGUGAUGGUAUUCCACAUCAAUCAAGCACCGUCGUGUGCUUAAACUGCAUUCACAUGACCAUGUUUGAUUGGUUGAGGAUAGCGCCAUAAUGGCGUCUCAGUUACAAGUAGGUUUCCCUCCUCAAGUUCUGUUUGGGAUAAAACUUGAACGUUGGGUUAAAAAGGGGUUAGCCCAAAAGAAGGUCCAGAAGGAGGAAGAGUCCAAGGCCCAGCUGAAGCCCAGAAGAAAGAAUGAGCAUUUUUCCCGACCAAGUGCAGAUCAUUCAAACCACCUACUCACCUACCUAGAGCUCAAGUGGUGUAGACCAGCCAGCUAAUCAGCCCAAAAGUACUUUACAAUGGCAGUACAAGUAAAAAGUUGAUGAGUCACUGCCCUUCAGAUGCAUUCGGGCAAAAUCAAUAUUGCAGGCAGCCAAGCCAAUUCGUCUAUAAAAGGAGGAAGAAAAAUCAGAGAUAAUGACACUCAAUCAAACAAACAAAUACAAUCACAAACUCUGCUCAAACCAGAUUUGCCUUCACGAAGCUGUAGUCAGCCCCCAAGCCUUCAUCUCUUUCGGGAUCAAUCUUCACCAGAAAGCCUUUGUAAAAGCUCUGCUACCCUGUUUAAAUAUUGUUGUAGUAUCGAUUCCCUCAUGUAAACUCAUCUUCCAAUCUCCCCUUCUAGCAUUCAAACCCUUUGUAAAUCACAAAGAGAGGAAAUUGCAAGACGAUCAGCCUUGCCUAACAAAGUGAAACCUUGCCCGACCUCCUUUGUUUUUGUCUUUCAUUCAUAAAUCUAGUAAUAUGAUGUAUAUUUCCAUCUGCAUCCAAGUUAUUUCUAGCCAGUUUAUGACUAAAAGACUUCUAAGUUCUAACCAUUCGGGCAGACAAGAUUGAUCAAUUAAAAGUCCUUGGUCUCAAGGCAUAAAAAAAGAACCCUAUGUGGACUUAACCCAUCCACGACAGUCCUUGAUAACAAGAAGUCUGAAGUUACUUAGGUCGCAAGUAAUUGGCCUAUUUUCUAGUUUUACUUUUGUUAUAUCAUGAUUGCUACAGAACGCUUGAGUAUAGAAUUAAUUCUGAUAGGAAGCCUCAAGGCCUAUAUCUAAGGCCCGAUAAAGGCACCUAUCUAAGUUUGUUCUGCUCUGCGGGCUCGGGCGAUUAAAGUAUAACGGUUGUGAUACUUCUGCAAUAAUGAAACAACUAAUAUAUGUUCAAGUAUAUGGUUAGUUUUGACGGGAAGUCUCAAGGCCUACACCUAAGGCCCCACAAAGACACCUUUCAUAACUAACUUGGUCUCUCGGAGACAUAUAUAUAAAAUAAAACUUAACAUUGGUUUUACAUCUGUCAUGCUAAAGAUGGCAGUGGCACGCCUGGGUACUUAAAGUUAAUUUUGAUUGUGAGCCUCAAGGCCUACACCUAAGGCCCUACAAAGGCACCUUUCAGAAUUAACUCUGUCAUUCUCUUACAGCCCGCCAAUAAGCAGAAGCCCGACAGACAAUAUCAACCGGCGCCAACCUCUCAGGGAGCUGUGUACUCGUUGGCCAGGAAACGUCCUCACUGGAUAUUCCUCAAGAUGAACAAGUUCAUUACUCCACACUAUUUAUAGUAAGCAACAUGAAAGCAUCAAUAGAACCACUAUCUUUAUGCCAGGCAAAAAUUUUCUUCAAUCUCAGCCAAGUACAAAACAAACAAGGGACUAGCCGGAAGAUUAGUGUUUGGUACUCGAUAUUGCAAGAGAAUACAGUGUAAACCUAACUGACACCGCCGGAGCUCUUCGUGGUGUUGUUGUUGCUGCCCUGGAGCCUCGUCAACCAUUUCUUCUGAGGUGUAGAGAGGUUGGUAAUUCCAGUAGGGGGAAGCAACGAGUUGUUGGGAAGCUCCUGACGACGGUGACGAUGGAAGCUCUGCCGGUAGAGCGGCAGCUGUGCUUGUCAAGGCCUUCAAAACCAGGAAUGCCAGAAUGGGAGAGAGAUCCAAUGUGCCUCCAAGUGGUGGGAUUAAACCCCGAAAUGUGUUCAAGUACGGAUCACUUAUCGUGCUGCACAUCAUAUCCACGUCCACAUCAUAAUCAUUUCGAUGUUUUUUUACCCUGACAAUUAGUUAUAUUAUGUUGUCAGACUGUAAAUUACGAAAAGUAGAAUUCUGGGAUCCUAAUUCACAGUUUGUUCAAGUAAAAUAUCGAACAUUGAUAACCAAAAUCAAAUCAUGACAAUACCUGAGGGGUGCAACGAUGGCAGGAGGGGAGUUGGGGAACGAGGCGAGGACAAGCCUAACGACCAAAAGAGUGUUGUACAAGUUCAAGAAGUUGGAGAUGCCGUUCGCCACCACAAGCCCCACCACCAAAUCUCCCGGCAACACCGCCGCAAAAUUGUGAGCCGCUAAUGUCUUCACCUGCCUAUGAUUUCUGCACCCAAUCUGAACUCAACCAUUUUUAGACUACCUUUUGUAGACCAUGUGACAUAGCGGUUGAUUGUUGGGCUAACUUUUGAACAAUUUUAAGAAGUCCAACCAUUAACCGCUACGGCGAGACUGUAAAGUGUAUCGAUACUGAAAUUAAUUCACCUGGUGGCAGAUGCUUUUUUCCUCACGACGGGGUAUAUGAUUUAUUAUUUCUUUUCCGAAUUAGUAAUUUGUGGUGAAGUAUCAUCGUUUUGCAUUAUUUUUUCAUGUCCUGGUUCAUAGUUGACAUGUUCCACCAGCCAAAAACUCACUAAAUGAUUUAGUCGAAGCAUAGCCGGCAUGCAGAGGGGGGACGUAGACUGGACUCGGACGUUGUCUAAACCAAAAACUAUGAACAAGAAAGUACUCCCAACUUUGAAGCUCACUGACGAUCCAGGUCCUCUCCGGCCCAAUGAAACCAGUAUCACUCACUGUAACAUGCCCAGUUCUUUUUUCCUGUUUUUUUUUUUUUCGAUUUAUCGAGAGGAUGAACUCAGUUGGAGGCCUCUUUAGUUGGCAAUGGAGGAAGUAGGGCAGCUCUUUUCAUACAAGAUUUCUUAACUCUCGGAUGUUGGAACACUCUCGAUAUUCUCACUUGUAGCGGAACGCAAAAUAAAACACUUGGACGACACAAAUAAUCUAUAGAGCGAUGUUUGAAUUUUAUCUCGUGAAACAUGUUGCCUAUUAUAAGUGAUCUAGGACUAUUUUGAACACAAAUAAACGUUAGGUUCACACUCAGGCGGAACCAAGAUCUAAUAUUAUAAUGUGGAGAGUUUCGCACAUCCAAAAGUUAGGAGAGUUGGACUACUCCCUUGUUAUAUAUCGAAUCUCGAUUUUGAAACUUUAUCUUACUUCACUUUCAAUACUGACAUGCCGUUAGUUAUUUAUACAUUCAUUUAGUUGUCACACUCACUUUUUUCAUUUUUAUUCAUUAGACCAAAUAAAUAAAAGAAGAAUUAAGGGGCAUGAUUAAGAUUCGAUUUCCAGCAGAGUUGUCCUUCCUUUUAUUUGAUGUUAUCUAAUAUCCUAGUGAAUAGGAUGUUGAGUUUCUACCCAUGUAUCCAGCGUUCAAAACUUUCCCUUUCAAGAUUAUUGUAAUAAUUUCGAACCCUUCCCAUUCUCGUUAAUAACAAUAAAUUAUAUAUAUAUAAAGGGCAUAAUUAAGAGGAGGUGUAGGUUUUUAAACAUUUUGUACAAUUACAAAAAGGUAUUGAUAUCAAGAAAAAUCCAUGCAAAAAAUGGUAGGAUAAUUGAGUAAAUUUCUCGGUCGGGCCCAUCAACCUUUAGUUUUUGCCCUUUUUACUCUGGAGUGGGAUGGGCCUAUUGGGCCAUUUCGAAGCGGUCCACCGAGAAAAUUUUUAUAGCCGUUAGAAAGAAAGAGCUCCCUGCUGCAUUCCAUUUAAAUCGACGGCUCAGAUUCACCCAAUUCAAACUUCAAUUCAGUCAAAACCCUCCCCUCACAAUCCCUCCGGUCCAUAUAAAAUCUCUCUCUCUCUCUCUCUCUCUCUCUCUCUCUUUGAUCUUCGUCUAAAAUUCACAACUCUCUCUCUCUCUAGAACUCGCAUUCUUGCUGUGAUCCGAAUCCAUGGAAGGUACUCUCUCUCUCUCUCUCUCUCCAAUUAUUUCUUGUUUUGUUAUUAAAUUUCUGUUAAAUCGUUGAGCGAGAGGUGUAAUAGUCGCGAAUGUUUCCGCUUUAAUCAGAUCAAACGGCGGAAAUGUUCCCCCGGAACUGCAAAGACCUCAUUCCAGAUCUCGACUCCAAGCCCUCGUCGACCUCGUCGACCUUUUAAUUUUUUUGAAUUACAAUAAAUGUUGAAUUUGAGGUUCAGAUUCGAUUAUUACUGCUUCUUAUAAUUUGAAUUUUAUUUCCGGUCGAAGAAAAUGUUGAAGUGGGAAAUUUUCUGAUUCGAUUUCAUCCCUCUUUUACUUGAGUUAAAGCCCUAGAGACGAUUACAUCUGCAAUUAUUGGCUUUUUUAAUCUCUAAUUUUGUAAUAAAAAUUGGGAACUCUUUCAAUUGAACUGUUACAUUGUGAAUUUCAAUUGAGUUGUUCCGUCGAGGGAGAUUCUGAGUUGAUUGGUGAGAGUAGCACGUCGAACGGAACUCAAGAAGGUUCUCCAUGUCGGAUGGUCCCUCCAGUUUUGCAAAGCAUACUAGAGGCACCAUUGUUUUCCCAAAUUUCAGUCACCAAAUAUGUGGAAGUUGGUAUCAGACGCGAGUCAGGCGUCACCAAUUAUACUGUGAAUUCCGGUUACAUGUAGAAUUUGGGUUUAUUUUGGUGCCGGUAGCACUGCUCUUAAAAUACAAAGGCGCUUGCCUCUUCAUUGUAUUUAGCAACCCCAGUAUUGUUUCAUUUCACUCUGAACUAUCUGCCAAUUACUUGACGUAUUUCUGCUUUUUGGAGAAUACAUCUCAUAUGGAAAACCUGUCCUUAAUGUUUUUUCAAACAAGUACGUAUGUUUCUUUUGCAGGUUGUUUCUUGCCCUUGUGCACCACCUAAAAUUUUUUGUUGUUGCAUAUUGUUCCUCAUAUACCAAAAGCUUUUGAAUGUGACAGCUUAUUCGAAGGAAAGCUGCACUUAGUUGCUGGCCCUUUCGAACAUGCUUACAAUUAUGACUCGUUAUGACAUUAAUGUAGUUCUGGAAGGUUCUGAUUUUACUUUUACUGCACUGAAAAAUGAGCAGGAGCAAGGCAAGGGCUCCUUGUGAGAGGAGCAGAUGUGCUUGAACGCUUAGCCGGUGUAGAUUAGAUUGCUUUAGAUAAGGUAGAUUUACAUUUCAGAACAUCAUGAUCACACACAUAAACUGGUUUUCAAGCUCUUUUAUAUGUGAAUCUGAAAUCUCAAUCUGAACCUCAACCUUACAGAAGGACUGACAUGGAGAACCUUCUUGUCUGAUGAAGCCAAGCUCACAAUGAAUCCCUUUCCGGACCCUGCAGUUCUAAACACCAUUCAGCUGCCAAGUGAGCCCUUUUAUAUUUGAUCACUCACGAUUAUUUUCUAACUUUCCUUCUCUCUUGAUUGUAAUUGGUUGUUUCUGGAUGUCUAGGUAUUGAACAUGAACUUUUAAACAAGAACAAUAGAGACGUUACAAUGAAGUAGUUGAUUAAUGGGGUGGGAGUGAUUUGAGUGGAGUGAAUCGGUCCACAUGCAGAAGCUUGAUCAGAAUUGUCCUGGUAUGAUUUCUAAAUACCCAUUUUAUAACUGCUGCUUGCUAUGACUGUGCUUAGAAACAUGCAUAGGACUUAACUGCUAGAUAAACCAGAUUAGGAAUGACCUUAGAGACUUAGCAAUUCAAUGAUAGGCUAGGAUCAUAUAUAUGCUUGUCUGCUUUGACUGUCCUUUGCGUGAAAUUCGAUUGCUUUGAACUGCUUAAAUUUUCUACGAUAUGUGAUAGCUUAGAACUCUUGUGGUUGAUGUGAAUGAAUGAAUUGCUGCUGGAUGCAGGAUCCAGUUUUACUUUAUUUUCCUUACACGUCUUAAGAUGAGAUAGGGCCGCCUUGUACGUCUUAAUUGCAACCUACGAAAGUCCAAAGUUUUUCAAUCAAAAGCCGGUUUAUAUCAACUUAGUUUUUCACAAUAGAAGUUUGAAUUUGUUUUGAAAAGAUGAGAAUUUUAUCCAACAAAAUAAAUGCUUUUUUCGAAUUAAAAACACACAGCAAACAAGAAUUUUAUUGCAAACAAGGAUUUUCACAUCUAACAAUUUGUACACACGAAACAAAAUAGAAAGUUGAAAAUACAAAACUUUAAACUAGUAUUACUGAAAGAAAAACAUAUGUUUUGGAUUUUUUUCAAGUUAGGGUUAGAAAAUUGGGCUGCCUCCUAAUAAGCGCUUUAGUUAACGUCUAUAGCUAGACGUAGUAGAAGAUCGAUGGUCAAAUCACUUGUUCCUUCAAAGCCACUAACUCACGUGCGCUAUCGUAGGAUGAAUCCAAGUAUGGUUUCAUCAUGUGAUCAUUCACCUUGAAUGUGUUACCACUUUACUUAUUAAUAAUGUCGACAACCUCAUGAGGAUAGAUGUUAAUAAGCCAGUAUGGCCCGUUCCAGCAGGACUUCAACCUCAUUAUGAAUUUCGUCUAGCUCGUUAAACUGCAAUUUACGGUUAGCACCCGCAAAUCAUAGGCAAAAUUUUGCUGUUUAAUAGCCCAAUAUGCCUUAUGCUCUAGCUCCAUAAACGAGCCGGUACAUGCCAUGUUUUCCCAUAAACGAGCUGAAAGGGAGACAUCCUAAUCAGAGUUUUAUAUGUUGUUAUGUACUCUCAUAGAGCAUUGUUUAAUUCCAGACUCCAGUCUUUGUAAGUGGAGUUGACUGUUUUCUCUAGGACACGUUUUAUCUAUAUGUUGGAGGCUUCAACCUAUAAUGGCUACAAGAUGGGUGAUCCCAUAUUUUGCAAGGAAUGCAGCAAAGGGAUUAUUCAAGAAGUGCGGUAGAUAAAAGCUCUUGGAAUACCGAAACGCGAAAAAAUUGUAUGUUAGAGGAAAUCCAAGACCACUGACCCUUUGUUUGUAGGUCCUGAAAUUACCUCAACCCACUUAGAAACGUAUUCCACAACCACAAGAAUGUAUUGGUUCUCAUGGGAUCAUGGGAGUAAUUCAACAACAAGAAUACCCAGCUGCGUCAUGUCAUUCCACUUGGACUAGUUGCCCACUCGUUGAUAACAAUUACAAGCUUGACACCAAUUGUUUGCAUUGUUGAAAAGUGAAGGCCAAAACAACCCACUUUGCAAAAUCUUUGCUGAUGUUAUCUUCGACCCAAAGUGUCUACACGUACAGUGAUGGGCAAACUUCAAAACACUUUCUUGCUCAUCUUUUGGAAUACACGUCAAAUGAUCUAAUAUGGGGCAAUGGCGCAGGCCUAAGAAAAUACCUAGGAGCCCAAGGCCCCCAAGGGUUUAUAGAAGGCCAUGCAUCGAUCACACACCUCAUGCGUUGGCAGCAGAAGGCCAAGCGUCGACACCCCAUUUAGCACUGCAAACACUGCUAGACCCUAUUUGAGGCAUGCUUGAGAAAAUAAGCUUCGAAGUGGAAAACGUUUGACGCAGCCCUAACAACCGUAGAAAUGCCUCCCCGAGCAAGGGAUCCCAAUUACCCUCAUGACAUUGUUGGGAUCCCAAUUACCGGCAUGGGAAAUAUGAACACCUUGGAAGGUUCGGCUCCAAUGUCGUUCCCAACUCUUGUUCCAACCUCAAUAACUAUAGAAACACCUUAUUGAACAACGGAAGCCACUAUAGAGCCACCCUCAGUCAUGCAUUUCCAUGGCACGUAGAGCUAAACCAGGGCCCUUCUAUCAACCCUAGGCGACUGAACUUCGACCUCAAUGGCCCGAGCAAUGUGCCAUCAGAAGGUGGUACCCAGUCAUGCUACGAGGAUGACCCUAUCUCUAACAGCUUGGCAUAGGAAGCAUCACCGAACAAAUUCACAUAACCUCAGUAAGGUAUUUCAAGGGAGACUCCGACCCUUUGAGCCUUAUAAUGUCAUAUCGAAAUAUCAUGGCCUUGUACAACCAUAGUGACCCCUUAAUGUGCAAAAUGUUCCUUUCCACACUUAAAAAAUACACAAUGAAGUGGUAUGCAGAGCUCAUAACUGGAUCCAUCAUAGAUUUUACAACUCUGAGUGAUGAGUUCAUGAAAGCCUUAUCCGCGUAUAAGGAGGUAAAAAGUGGAGUGGAUACCCUAUUCUUGAUCAGCCAAAGGGACGAUGAAAGCCUCAGGGACUAGAUUAAGUGAUUCUACACUGACUACGCAGAGGUAGUGAUGAUCUCAUGGUCAUCACCGCAUUAAAAAUGGACUACUCAUUGAGUUCGAGUUAGUACGAAGCUUCAUUAGCCCAAAUAUGAGUACAUCACCCUCGCAGAAUGCUUUAACAAAGCGGAAGAAAUAAUUGCGUGAGUCGAGGAGUAUAGGCGGAAUGAAAAGCCAUCUAAGCCAGGCCCCAUCCCAAGACCGCAACCGACAAACAGAAAAGCAAGUGAACCCCGGUAUGAAUGCAAGUGAGGUAAGAAUAGGCACCCAAGGCAUGUGUAUCACUCGGAACCACGCAGCAAGCCUCAUAUGAUAAGUCUUUCUUUACCCUCGCAGGUAGUUUGGGUUCAGAUUUUUCUUAUUUCACUAUGCUAAAUACUUUCUUCAACAAUGUCUUGAACGAGAUUAUGAGGGAAGUAUUCUCCCUAAUCUCAUUCAAGACGUUGUUGAGGGAAAAAUUUAGCAAGGUGAAAGAAGGUAAAUCCCUACGAGGUUCCUUGUGUGUGGGUCCGAGGGAUCCGCGUGCCUUGGGCGCCUGUUCUUACCUCCUUUGCAUUUCUACUGGGGUUUGCUUGGUUUUCUGUCCAUCGACUGUAGUCUUGAGAUGGGGCCUAACUUGGACGACUUUCCAUUCUGCCUAUACUCUUUGUCCUACUCGACUAUUUCAAUUGCCUUGUCGAAACACUAUGUGAUGGUGAUGUACUCAUAUCUGGGUUUAUGGAGCUGUUAAGCUAGAACUCGGUGGAGAGUCCAUUUUGAGCUAGAACGCAAAAGUGAUGUAGUCUUUUUUUUAUCAUCGGGUCUAUCUACCUUCGCGUAUUCAGUGCGAAAUCGCUUGAUGUAGUCCUUGAGGGUCUCGUCGUCAUUUUGGCGAAUCAGGAAUACCUCCUUAUACACUGAGAUGGGAGCCCCGCAUACCACUUUAUGGUUUUUCCCUUAAAUGUGGAAGGGAACACUUUGCACAUCAAGGAGUCACUAUGGUUGUACAAGGCAAUGACGUUCUUGUAUGACAAUAUGUGAAUUUGUCCGGUGGGGCUUCCUAUGCCAAGGCGUAGGAGAAAGGGUCACCCUCGUAGCAUGUCUACUACCACCCUCUAACUGUACCUGGCUCAGGUCAUUGAGGUUAAAGUUUAGUCGUCUUGGGUUGACAGGGGGGCCCUGGUUUGGCUCUGCGCGCCCCGAGACUGCAUGACUAGGGAUGGCUCUACGAGGGCUUUCUCGCUCGGGAAUGAGCUUCUACGGUUGCUGAGGCUGGAACAGAAGUUGGGAACGACAUUAGAGCCAAACCUUCUAAGGUGUUUAGGUAUCCCAUACCGGUACUGGGAUCCCAGCAGUGUUGUGAGGGUAAUUGGGAUCCUUUUCUCAAGCAUGCCAUAUGGGGUGUCGACGCAUAACCGUAUGCCAAACAAGUAAAUACCAUGAGUCCAAGCGCCAAGAGGUGGUUCUUGGCAUGGAGGCUCCGAUGAUUAAGUUAGGAAAGUUUGAGAGGAAAUUGGUAUAAUGUAUUUCUGGGGUUCUAAGUGUCUAACUUUGGUUAAUGAGUCACCAUGACCUUGCGGAGUUGGUCCAUGUCAUUCGACAUUCCUCUGAGUUGUUGGGGACAUUGAAGACCAACAAAUGAACCAUUCUGAUGUACGUAUGCCACAUCAGGGAAGGACAAUUUGUCUCUUCCUCAUCAUGGGCGGAAGACGCAGCCAUGCCAGUAGGCACAAUCUGACAUUUGGCGUGGUUGAGAGGGUACGUCAAAGGUUUAACCCCAAGGAGUGAGUGUAUGUUAUCAUCACUCCGAGAAGAUGGUAUUUUGGGCCUCACAAUCUUCACUAUCAUGAAAUUCUAAUCGAGAUAAGAAGGUUUAUUAUACCCAAGCGUUGUGCCAGGUAGUUUCACAAUACUACGUAGUCAAAGAGGUAGGCCAACCUCGAAGCUAGAAAGAUUGUCAAAAGAGCCGGUCGUGUUUAAUCAAGAAAUGGAUUCAAAUUCUACAACCAAAUAAUGACCCCCCAAUCAUCUCAAUAGAGAUAGCCACCGGUAAGGUUACGCGAGUCUUUGUCAACAAUGGUAGCUCUAUAAAUGUCAUAUUCCUCUUGACCAUGGAAGAAAAUAUCGAUAAUAUCGGCGAUAUAUCGCCGAUAUUAUCAUUUUUUUCGUGCACCGAUAUUUUAGGUGGUAUCCAAGGGGUUUUCGGAAAAAUUUCGCGAUAUUAUCGAUAUUAUCGCGAAAUGUCGGAAAUGUGCAAGUCGGAGACGAACGCCGGAGCUUCUACAGCUCCGGCCGACUGUAAAACAACCCCCUAGACUCCGAUCUAGGUAUGAACAUGAAAUAGAAGACGAGAGGAACGUUUUUAUAACGUCUGUUUGCCGUGAAACGGCCGGAGGUGUUCGGAAAGUUCGUCGACACCCACGGCCUCGCCGGAGAUGGGUUUCCAUGUUCCCGAGUCGAAUUCAUCCCAAAAACCUUGCAAAAAGAAGAGAUAGAACUUCAAUUUGACAUCUAACCUUCGAUCUAGAACAUAAAAAGAAAACCCCAAGCUUACCUAACCGGAGAAAUUGAAGGAACUCGCCGGAGCAGGUGCGAUGGUGUGCGUGUGGGUGUCGGUGCAGAGAGAAAUGAGAGGUGUAUGUGGGUCGCGGUGCAGAGAGAAAGGAGAGGGAGGAGCAGAAGGCCGUGGUGUGUGUGUGGGUGGGGUGUCGGUGCAGAGAGAAAGGAGAGGUGUGUGUGGGUGUCGGUGCAGAGAGAAAUGAGAGGUGUGUGUGGGUGUCGGUGCAGAGAGAAAGGAGAGGUGUAUGUGGGUCUCGGUAAUAUGGAACUCUAUUUGCUGAAAGGUAAUAUGGCAUCAAACUUCACUCAACUUUUUCUUUGGUAAAUGGCUCUAGUCAACUUUUAUUGUGACUUUUGAGGAUGGAAGCAAUAAAGCAACGAUCAGAUGUGGGAUGCAUUCUUGUCGCUAAUUGCAGUGAAAAGUAAAGGGAAAUUUGGAAGAACUGUUGUACCUUGGUGGAAAGUGACUAGGAUAUGGUGCAUCAAAGGUGGUAAUCAAACAUGCAAAUUGCAAAGAGUCAUGCUCAUGUAUCAUGAAAAAGCUAUUUAUCAUAAGAAAAAAUGUGUCCACUUGUGUAUUCUUGAAUUUUAAUAGUAGACUGUAAAUGACACAAGAAAUCGAUAUGACAAAGAAAUUGACGAACAUUAUGUUCUAACAAACAUUAAAAUUUCAUCAUGACAAUCAAAUGAGGACUUAAAAAAUAAACAGUUCGAAUCGUUCAAGUUCACUAUAUAAUGAGUCCCAUAACUAGUUUCCUUUCUUUAGGAACCGGAUCCCCUUCGGACCCAAAUGAAUUGAGUCCAAAGAUCAAAUGAUCCGAGCCAUUGAAAUUCGAUCCAACGGCUGCAAUUUUUAUAACUUUUAGAGGACCCCUUGUUUGUAGUCGUUGGAUCAAAUUUCAAUGACUCGGAUCAUUUGAUGAGUGGGCUCAGUUUCUUUGGAUCCCGAAGGGAUCCGGUUCCUAUUUUUUAAAACAUAGAAAUCCUUUCGAAUUAAGACUCUGAUAUAAGUGAAUUUAAAAGUAAAAACAUAGAAAUCCUUUCGAAUUAAGACUCUGAUAUGAGUGAAGUUUGAUGCCAUAUUACUCUUCACAAUACACUCACUCUACACAUAGAGAUGAUGAAGAUAGUGAAAAUUUUGAACCUCAUAGGAACUCUAUGUGGUACUAAGUCACUCAUGUAUCUUACCAUGCAAUGUAUAAAGUGUAAAAUACUGUACUAAUUCAUUAUAUAUAAAUGAUUAUGGUGUGUUUAGACUUCUUUUAUUAAUUACUACAUAUUUUCUAUACUCACAAUGUUUGUCAGCUCGCUAUAUAAUCAACUUGAUAAUGUUAAAUCCAUCAUGCAAUGUAUUUCCUUCCAAUUUUUUUUUAUAAACUAAUAGAUAAUUGACUAAAUAAACAUCCUGCAAAGUUUCAAUAAAAAUUUCCAAGUUUUUCUUACAAUUUCCGUGGUUUCCAUGUAAUUUUUAUCGAUAUCGAUAUUAUCCCGAUAUUUCCAUCGAUAUUUCCGUGUUUUCGGACUACCGAUAUUUCCGAUAUUACCGAUAUUUUCUUCCUUGCUCUUGACAUUUGAUCAAUUAGGGGUCAAUAGGUGUAAUACCCUAGAAAAUUUAAAAUAUAUGAAAACUUAGAAAAUUUAUCGAUAAGUAGAAAAUGCCCCUAGUUGAUUAAACGUAAUUUUACGAGGACGUAAUUGUGAAGCCAAAAAUAUUCACAAGGCGACAUGUGGAUUUUUGACAAAACAAGACAAAACUACCCUUGGGGCAUACCGGGAUUCCUACGCGCAAGCAGCGGGCAAUUAUCCCUCAACCAAGUCAAAAGUGCCCAAAAUAGGUAUCAACUUAAAACCUAAUUUAUUCAUAUAUUUCCUAUUUCAUUAUUUAGCUAAUCAAUUAGCUAAAUACUAUACUUAUUCCAUAAUUCCUAAAACAUUCCUUCUAAAAUAAUGAUAAAUAGCUAAUUAAUGGGUUAAUUAGCUAAUUAUUCCCUUAAUUAGCAUUUAGACCAUUCACUUUACCCUAACUCCCACAAAAAGGCCGGUUAACUUUCAUCCCCAAAAGAAGUCAGCCUUUCCUUCUACCUUUUUUCCUUUGUAUGACAAAUAAUUAGCCAAGUUAAUUAGGGAGUUAUUGACUAAUUAUUUGGUAACUCCUAAUUAAACCUAAAUUAAACCCAAAAAACCCUAGCCACCUCAUAUCCCUAUAAAUAUACUCUCAUUCUCACCAAAAAGCCAAUUCCAACACUUUGGCAAAAAUCCCAAAAUUCUCUAAACACUCUUUCUCUCUAAAUUCUAACUUUGGCAUCGGAGGUUCUUCGGCCAAAGCCCCCCCCCAUUCAUCGUGGGCGCGUGAGGCUCUUGGCCUUAACCUAAGGUGUUAAUUGUUUUGUAGGUGUAAAAUUGUCCAAGAUCAAGGAGGAAGAAAUUUGCAUCCACAGUAGUCAUAUUUCCUGACAUAUUUAGAUAGAGUUCGAUCCUACGAACGCAUAGGCGAAAACCGUUCGUGGAAUGGAGUUAUAACGAAGAAAUUAGAGAUGUUUUCGUUGUUGGCGAAGAAUAAAAAAAAAAGGUUGGAUGCUGCUAGAUGGCAGCAAAAGAGAGAGAGGAAAUAAGGGAUACGGGAGAGAAAAUGAGAAGGGGAAGGACAAAUCAGAAGGGAAAGCAAGGAAGGAAAUGAGGGAAGGGAGAAGAAGGAAACUGGCCAACCUGGUUCCUCCACCCGACCCGGUUCCUUGACCCGAUCCUAACUUCUCUGUCCGACCUCAGUUUGAGGUGAUUCCGGUGUCUAUGGAAAGCUCUCAUCAAGCCCAACAUCCCUGUGGUGUUAGAUUUCUAGGUUUCUAACCCAAAUUCACAAAUCGAAGGCACAAAACCCAAGGGUAUCCUAGCGGCUUUAUGCUUUUUUUUUUGGUGAAUCUGUCAACGAAUACCAUCAAUCUUCACCACCAAAAGACUUCCCUCAACCUUAGGAGCAAGGCCCAAGCCUUGGAUGAGGCGUCGGAGUUCAUUUUGGUGGCAAAUCGACAACUACCCAAAUUUUAGGGUUCCGACGAGUUCAUGGGGAUUUGAGGCUUUUCCCGGACAAAUUGGACUUGGCCACAGGUAUGAAACUUGUUCCCCUUAUUGAGACCUACUUGCCUAUAAAAUUUGGUGAUUUUUUUAAAUAGUUGAAUUUUCCGGCAAGUCGGGACGGUCGACUACCACCUGCAGCGGCGCGUGGCCAGAGGCCGUCAAUGUUAUUUUAAGCCAAAUUAGAUGUCUUAAUUUUAUAUUUGAUAAUCAUAUGAUGUAGGUUGAUCAUUUGAACCUAAAUUUACUAUGAUACAGUGCUAGAUUAAUUUAGGAAUCGAUCAUCCGACCGUUGGAUCGUCACCAAACUUUGAGAUCUUAUAAUACGUAAUAUUUGAGGACCUUGGGAUCUUACAGAUCGGAAAUCCAAUGAAUGGAUCUUCCUGAAUUGGAUUUGUAAGUUCGUAAAAUAAAAUGUCAACCGCCACUUGAAUUCUUAAUUGGCGCAGAUCCAACCGUUGGAUCUUGAUGAAAUUUUAAUAUAUUGUUCUGGAAGCAUAAUGUGAACUACAAAUGGCUUGAUCUCUUCGCAGGGUACGUAGGUAGUCUAACAAGAUGGUUAGAUGCAGUCAUAAUAGGAUUGAAUUUAAUUUAUGGUGGUUAAGAGUCUAUUUAUUGACCAUGAAUUAUUUGGGCCUACCUUAGUAUCUGGCUUCCGAAUUAACUUUUCGGGACGUUACAAUAGGGAUCUCUUGUGCGAAAACGUGGAACCCCUUAUAGUGUUAGGGGACAUUCUAGUACACCUGGUUGGAGAGAUCGGGGUUCAUCCUAGAAUGGUCAACCUAACGACCAGGUUCAUAAGUAUAGACUGCCCUUCAUCUUACAAUGUGAUCUUGGGACAACCAUUUCUCAUAGAGAUGGACGUGAUGAUUAAUCAGAUGAUGUUAAUGAUGAAGUUCCUAACCCUUGCAAGGGUAGGAAUAGUCAAAUGUGAUCAAGUGUUAAUAAAAGUGUUAUGUGUCAACAGUAAAAGUGAUGACUAAGGUGACAACUAAGGGGUUUGUAUAAAAACUUUGAGGGUUACCUACACCAGACCCCAAUACUUGUUGGAAGGCAUAACCGCUUGUUCGAGCGGAAAAGUCACCCUAUAAGCAUUACCUGAGACGAAUAGGACAUGGUGACAAGUUAAGGAAGACCCAGUCUAAGGCAUUUAUGUGAAGCAGUAGGUAACUCAUCAAUUAAACUCUACAUACAGAACUCUUUUGGCCUGUCAAUGGUGGUUAACACCCGAGCAAAAAGAAUAAGUUUUCAAGGGAUACAGUAAAAGAAAUAGUUUCAUAAUGUCCACAGCAUAGGGCCAAGCGCUUGGGAUAGAAGUAUGCAGGCUAGGAAGACGGAGAAACUAUGAUAGAAUAUCGAAAUGGGCAAAUGGUACGAGACUUGACCCAGAACUAGUCAUCGAGGCCGCUCAAAGGUAGGUAAGAGAAAAAGUUGGAAGAAUGAUCGCCUUGAAAAAAGUUGGCAUUUGGAUCAAAAACUAGUUAAAUGGUGUAGGGGCAUCGCCUUGGCCGAGCCGUAUCAAAGUGGUAGAAACACCGAAACCACUUAUUGUAAAUAAAGGAUUUACUCGCUCGACGACAUCCUCCUAGGCUUUGGGAGUAGUAACCUCGAUGAGGGUUUCUGUGGCUCUAUCUUCCUCUGCUCUGCCCUAUUCAGAGCUAUCAUCCCCAACAUGCAGAUCUUUCAAUUUUUUUGUAAAACUCUACAUAGUUCUGGAAAUGAAGUUUAUUGGUAAGCUUUUGGUCAGCCGGUGAUUUGAGGUAACUAUUUAUAUCUCAACAACCGAUUUGGGAGGAUUUAUCCAAGGCCCUUUUCAACUACUCGUUCUCAUCCCUCAAGGCCCGAGCAGUAUCUUUAACCUCACAAAGCACAUUAACAGCCUGAAGUUUCUUGGUGGCCGCUUCAUUCACCUACAUCCCCAAGCACUCAUUCUUUUGCUCUAACCAAACACUCUUUUUCGAUAGUCUUCUUAGUGGCCCCGAACUCAGUUUUCUUGGCUAUCAUGGCAUCCUGAAGCCUCUUUAGGUCUCACUCGAGUUGAACACUGUUUAUAGCAUAUUUAGGGCCUUGUAUUUAGAUCUCGUACAAAUACUCGGGGGAGUUAAAAUGUAAUUAUAUGAUAAAGGAAUGGGUAAAUAUGUAAUAAGUGAUGAGUCCUUAUUCUAUAAAAGGACCCCUCAACCUCACAAUAAGGGGAUGCCAUUUCUGAGGCGAAUUCCUAAGCCCUCUCACCCCUCUCAAAGCUUUCAUUCUCAGAGCUCUCUCUCUCCCUCAAAUAAAUACAUAAUCAAUGUGGACGUAGCCCAAACCUAGGGGUGAACCACGAUACAUCUUGUGUUAUUUACAUUUCAUGCAGUUUCACGGUCGGAUUUACGUUGUUCCAAGACCUUCGAUUUUGUGCAUCAACAUUUGGCGCCGUCUGUGGGAAUCGACACGAAAAACUAUGUCGGUUCUCUUUCAUUUUUUCACUUCCAUCGUGAAUCUGCAGAAUCUGCAAAUCUGCAAAAACCCAUGAACCCAAAGCUUUCCUAAAAAAAACUCAGAAACAAAAAAUACUCGAUCUCUCUUCUCUCUCUUUGCAUCUCACUCUCAUAUCUUCGUUUCUGAGUUUCGAAAACGUAGCUGCUCUCUCAACAUUGGGUACCUUUCUCCAGCUACUCUCAGACAACCCAGCUGCUCUCAAGUUGCAGCCGUUGAUCCGCGACUUGGAAAUCGGCGGAGCCCUACCCUUCUCCGAAUUCUCCUUCACCUCAGAUCACUCCCUAUGUCGCUUGCUGUCUCACGGACUCGCCCCCUCACAGGAUUCAGUCAAACGCCCGCUGCAUUUGUAAUCCUAGAUUUCAGCAGCCGUCAAGAAAAUAUCUUAUUGAUUUCUCAGCAACCGUGCGAUCAUCUUUCUCCAACUUCAGGUGGCUUAUUAAAUGAGUAUUUCCCAGAUGUGUGCUUGGCCAUUUGGACAACAACUCCCUGGACUAUUCCAGCCAAUGAUGCGGUGGCUGCGAAUGCCAAGCUUUUAUAUGCCAUCGUUGAAGUACAGUCACUCCCAGAAGAUUCUUUAUAUGAUGGAAAUAAAAAAUGAAGUUCUGUAAAUCUUUUGAAUGAAGAAAAGAAGCUUUUCCUUAUUGUUGCUUCAGAUCUUGUGCCAGCGUUAAAAUCAAAAUGGGGGGUGAAGCUUGUUGUUGGGAAAAGGGUGUCGGGUUCAAAUCUUGAAAACGGUUCCAAAGCCACCCCGGACAACAUUCAACUCACCACGAUUCCCAACGUCGUCCCGUCGGAGCUGGUUCGCGCCACCGACAUGGAUGGUUUCAUCAAUGCAAUCAUGACCAAGAUGGAGGCCCCAUUCAAGCAGCUCAUGGAUCGACUAGAGCCGCAUCCACACCUGAUCGUGGCGGACACUUUCCUGCCUUGGGCGGUCCGUGUCAGGAACCGGAGGAAUAUCCCAAGGAAAGAGAUGAGCUGGGCAACUACAGCUCCGCUUCUAUCACUGCCUCCUCCUAAGUUUCACUCUUCCCCUUCCUUCCUCUCUUCUUCUUCGUCUUUGAUUUCGAGUGUUAGGGUUUCAAAAACCAGUAGUAUACAUUUUUCUUCUGCUUCGCCAUUUUUGUCCUCAGAAAAGCACCAGAUAUGCAGAGCAGCGGGUGAACACAAAUUUCCCGACCCAAUUCCUGAUUUCGCUGAUGUCGAGACAGGACCCAUCUACGAAAUCAGGAAUUGGGUCGGGAAAUCUUGAGAGAUACCCAUUUCUCAAGACCCAUCUACUUGUUCAUAUAAUCAUUUUCCAAUCCUCUUCUGAGAAAUAGGCAUCUUUCAAGAUUUCAUCUUUUGCCACAUAAAUAAAAUUCUUUGCGUUUCCAUCCUCCUGUUCUUGGUUUCGAGCUCGACCCAUCAUGGCUGAAGGUGGUAGAACAGUUUCAGGCAAGCCAACUGAGGCUACUCCGGCUAGAGUUCUAGAGGAAAAUAGAGCAGAAGUGGCAGUCAAUGCACGUCGAACAUGAGCAAAAAGCAAAAGUAGAAAAGCAAAUGAGCUGGAAAUGCAAGUGUGGGAGAUCAUGGCAAACCAUCAAAUAGCUCAAUCACUCGCACAAAAGAAAAGGAGAAAGAAUAGAGACAGAGAGAAACACAUGGGGGACAACAGAAAAGCAAAAAGAAAAAAAAAAGAAAAAGAGAAGUGAGAAUGGAUGGGCACGACCAAAGCAAGUGCGUUUGCAAGCAAAGGAUACCUUACAAAACAAGAUGGGCAGAGAGAGUGGUGGAAAAGCAUCAAGAAAAGCAAAAAGCAAAAGCAAGGAAUAAACACCCUACCAGAAUGAUGUAAUUUAUUUUAUCUUUCGGAGACAUCUGUAUAAACCCCAUCAAAGGGUAGUAUGUAUAAACCCCAUCACAGGGUAAUAAUAGUAAAAAAUAAAAUAAAAAAAUAAAAAAAGGCAAAGCCCAAAAUAAAUGAGCUGGAAUGUUAUGUAGAUGGCGAAGGCCCAUAAGCCCAAAACAGCUCCAACCAGGCGAUCAAAAGUACACCCAGUACUCCACAAUUAUUCGGCAACCUGUCGCUAUUAUCGCCAACCAGGUGACCAAAAGUACGCCCAGUAUUCCAAAAUUAAUCGACAACAUGCCGUUAUUACCACCAACCAGGUGAUGAAAUGUACAACCCGUACCACCAACCAGGUGAUGAAAUGUACAACCCGUACUCUCCUUCAUGCCACCAACCAGGUGAUCAAAAGUACGCUCAGUACUCCAAAUUAUACAUGAGCAUUACUCAUGUCAUUCAUACAUAAACAUUCAUGAGCAUCACUCAUGACAAUCAUACAUAAACAUUCAUGACCAUCAUUCAUGUCAACAUUCAUGAGCAUCACUCAUGUUAACAUUCAUGAGCAUCACUUAUGACAACAUCCAUGAGCAUCACUCAUGUCAAUCAACAUAAACAUUCAUGAGCAUCAAUCAUGUCAAUCAGCUUCAAAAGCUUCAUUUACAGAGUUCUAGCUUGAAAAGCUUCAUUUACAAAAGCUCUAGCCUCAAAAGCUUCAUUUACAGAGCUCCAGCUUCAAAGCUUCACUGACAAAGCUUCAGUGCAAGGUAUACAAAUACCACCUCCGAACAACCACCACUUCGGCUCAUACAUGGAUUUAAUUUGAAGUCUCCAGCCAACAGACUCUAUUGAUCGAAUACUUGGGGGAUUACACUAUACACCAUAUAUUGGGCCUCAACUAGGCCUCAUGAAAAUACUUGAGGGACUUAGCCCAUCACUUAUGUAUUGAGGAGCAAGCCCUUAUUUUAUAAAAAGGACUCCCUCACCUUCGUGAGAGAGCAUCGCUGCCAGCUGAGCAACCGUCUCGCCACGAGCAUCACUCCUAACCCAUUAUUCAUGUACUGAGAAGCGAACCCUUAUUUUAUAAAAGGGACUCCCUCACCUUCAUUAGAGAGCAAAGCCGCCAAAUGAGCAACCGCAUCGCCGCGAGCAUCACUCCUAACCCAUCACUUAUGUAUUGAGGAGCGAGCCCUUAUUCUAUAAAAGGGACUCCCUCACCAUCAUUAGAGAGCAUCAACUCUAGCCCAUUAUUCAUGUACUGAGAAUGGAGCCCUUAUUUUAUAAAAGGGACUCCCUCACCUUCAUUAGAGAGCAACGCCGCCAGCUGAGCAACCGCCUCGCCGCGAGCAUCACUCUAGUACACCAUUUAUGUAUUGAGGAGCGAUCCCUUAUUCUAUAAAAGAGACUCCCUCAACUGCAACUCCACAAGCCGAGCCAACUAAGGCAACAUAAGACACGAGCCGAGCAGCCGAGCAGCAUGUGCUACUUCUAGUUGAGCAUCAUUUCAGAUUAAGCACCACCUCAUAUCGAACAUCAGUUUAAGACAACAUCUAGUUACUUCGGCCCACACAUGGACUGAAUUUCAAGUCUUCAGCCAAAAGACUCUCUUGACUGAAGACUUGGGGGACUACUGUUUAUACCAUAUUUAGGGCCUCGUAUUUAGAUCUCGUACAAAUACUCGGGGGACUUAAAAUGUAAUUAUGUGAUAAAGGAAGUGGCAAAUAUGUAAUAAGUGAUGAGUCUUUAUUCUAUAAAAUGACCCCUCACCCUCACAAUGAGGGGAGGCCAUUUCUGAGGCGAAUUCAUAAGCCCUCUCACCCCUCUCAAAGCUCUCAUUCUCAGAGCUCUCUCUCCCUCAGAUAAAUACAUAAUCAGUGUGGACGUAACCCAAACCUUGGGGUGAAUCACGAUACAUCUUUUGUUAUUUACAUUUCAUGUAGAUUCACGGUCGGAUUUACGUUGUUCCAAGACCUCCAAUUUUGUGUAUCAACAAACACUAUGUUUUUUUUAGAAGAAUUGUCGGAGCCCCCAAUACUGAUCAAAGAAAGCCUGCACAGGAAAAAUACUGAAAAUUAACCAAGAAAAGACGUUUCGUAGCAUAGGGAAGUGAAAUGGGAAGAAUAACUUACUCCAGUCUGCAUAUCAAAGGCAAGAACUACUUGCUCAUGGGUAUUCCCCUCAGAUAUCAUAUGCAAAGCUCGCUCCGCGAAUGAUCCCCUUGCAAAUCUUCAAGAAGGAGCCGAGAUCUCUUCGGGAGAGGUAUCCUUCGAGUGAACUACUGUUAUAGUGGUCGGACCCGACCCUUCCAUUCUCAGAUGAGCAAAGUCGUUGACCACCAGUCCUUUAGGAACCGGAGCUUCUGGCUCCUUUGUAGCCGAGCAAUUUCCCCGAUGGUUUGCUCAUGUUAGCUCUUUAAGGGGUGCACUAAACCAACCAAUGAGGAAAACCAUGAUUACUAAGCUGAACACCCGAGCUAUUCAUGCCAACGCCUCUACCGGCUGGCUGUUUGCGAGCUCCACCUAGAGCAGAUCGAGCAAUCCGCUCAGUCUCAUUGUCCAGUUUAGCAUCUCUUCUUCUGCAAAGUACGAAUGAGUUAGAAAUAAGUAAAAGUGAGUCCAUUUAGACUAGGGACAAGUAUUGAGAGACUAUGCAAUUUAUCGCUUAGAAGGCCAACUGCUCGUAAACGAGAGUCGGUUAGGAUAGCGAUAGUGUAAAGUUCUCUAGAGGGCAAAGAAGUGACAACCGUCAAUAGAAGCUUUUCCUUUUCGGAAGAUCCGCCCAGACCAGUCAACUACAAAGAAAAAGGGGGGACGUUGUAUUUAAGUUAAAGAAACUCAUAACAGGCUAUAAGACGCUAGGGUACGAAAGGAGUUGACUGUGUUGUUUCAACCUUUAUUCCUAAAACGCUUAGCAACCCAAAUGCCCGUCGCUUCUACCUCAGCGACCUUUCCCAACUGCCCUAAUAAAGAACCAGCUCUUUUUGUAAGGUCGUUGAUUUGAUGAGUUGUCAGCAAAUAAUACACAAAAGCCGAGCAUAUGCACAAUCUGUUAACUUAUGGGUUAGGACUGUUUCGUAGUUUAUAGCAAUGGAUAAGGGCAAUGCUAGGGUCCACUUUGAAAAACUUAUUUCAAAGCACAUAUGUGCUAAGGAAAAGCAAAAUUCGUUGGGAUUGGCUUGUGGGAAGCUAAACCUGUAUGGGCUAUGACAAGAUAGAGGAAGGGAUGCAAAGGCAACUGAACUCCAGAUUUGAAAAACUCAGCAGGAAAUGCCACUCAACCAUGUAGCGGUCGGCUAAGUUUUUCCCCCACAACUGGCGCUUGGAGAAUAACAUCAGAAAGAAUGUUAUAUCGAUGUCUCAACUCUUCUAACAGCAGUUGAGUCAUGAUGUUGGGGGUAUGAUCCGCACUGUGAUCACGAGUGUUAUAGUGGGAGUUGGUGCUGGCAGAAGAAUGUCUUUUAGACACCUGCAACCGAACCUGGGGGACUUGUAAUACGCAGCACUCGGAUGCAUUAGGAAAGCCUUCAUCCCUCAUCUUGCUGAUGGUUACCUGGUCGACAUAUUGCUCUUAUUCACUAUAGCCAAAGGUAAACCCUUCCUAGUUACAAACGACAUAGGAGAAUUCAUUAAGUCCACUAUUGGUGGUCAAGUGUGUGGCUGAUGCGGAGGAAUAAUGGAUGACCCGAUCAAAGGUAUAUCGAACGUCUCAGAAGAGCUGACUUGGUAGGUAAAGAUGGUCGUGUCAUCACCAGCUAACUGUUCAUAGUCGUACGUUUUGCAUUCGUCACUUUUCGAGCCUGAGGCAGUCGACAUAGCGCACACACUUGGAUGUCCACAAGUAGUGUCACUAUCUCAGAAUUGGAAAGAUGAGGAAUCAUUACAAUUUAAGGUGCAAGCGAUCGAGCUUAGUGAUAAGCCGAAGCAAGCUGUUUUUCGGUAUGGUAGAAAAUUACGAAACCACGUGACCUAAUUGUCAUUGUAACCUACCCUACCCUACCAUCAGGGGUAUCAGAGUUAGUCUCACCUGCAUAAGAGUACAUUGGCGGAUACCGAAAACAAAAAAUUCUACUACUAAAGUUAGCAAACGGAAUAAAGUGAUUUCUAUAAUUUACGAAAUGCAAAGAGCGUGAGAAGAGGAAAUCUUACUUGAAAAACAACGUCAAAUGAAGAAGUCUGGAGGAAAUAGCACUUCAUAUCAUUGGAGAAGUUGUGGAAGAAAAUCAAUCAAAACAAGGGUUUAUAUAGCCCUGAACGUAUGAUCUCGGUUGUUGAUAACGAAAUGCAUGGAUGCAAAGAUGGCGACGUGUGAUAAUUCAUUUAUUUAUCUUGGUCGAAGAGAUCUGAAGCGACAUCACGGUACUCGAGGCAACACCUAUCAGCUACACGUUCAAUAGGGACUUAAACGUCUUUUAACUGUUGCCUGAUACGGGCCGACUAGCACGACAACAAGCCACAAGCCGAUCGACCAUUGCCGAUCCGAGCAUUGCAACUCUAUGUCCAAGAAUGAACCUUUGACCAAAGAGUUGUGAGACUUGCUAAUGUUGGGCACUUUUAGGCCCAACCAAUGGCGCAAGCCAAAGGAAAUACCUAGGAGCCCAAGGCCGAAAUGGGUCAUAGAAGGUUGGCUCGAGCACUCGAGUUGGCCGAGAUAAAAAAAGGAGUUGCCCGACCGCAUAGAACAUAUGGGCAAACUAACAACUUUGUGGCACAAGUCUCUAAGGGCAUAACUACUCGAGUAUCAUUUGGGCUAUAUGGUGUCUCGCAGUCAGCAACAGAAAGCUAGGAUGAAACAUAAAGGUAGUCGCGAUAGUGCUCAAUGAGACAGAGCAAAGUAACCAAGGUCCGAGUAGGUGGAAAGGUGUUAGUGAGUUAGUAUAAGUUGUUGGCAUAUUAAAUGCCAGUUUAAGAGGCUCCAAGACUAAGAUGCCUAUAUAAAUAGAUGAAGUCUUCCAAUAUGGAGGUCAGAUGAAUAGGAGAGAAAAAAGUGAUUGUAUGAGCCGAGCACUAUUUAGUCUUAAAGUCAAUAGAUUAUAACCAAUAUAGUGGAUGUAAACCAGUUUUGAGAGAUGAAACAUUUAUAUCUUUGGGUCCAUAUCCUAAGCCCAUCACAAGCGAUUUAAUUAAGUAUUAACACCUUACAAUUUUUCCUUUGCUGAAACGUUAAGUCUGGAUGUACAACUCCCCUUGCAAAUAAUUCACAAUGUCAGCAAACCAAGGUGGCUAUGGGCAGCAAAAAGUUGUUCAUUUGGAAAGCUUUCACUUAGUUGGAAGAAUUAAUCGUGAUAAAUGAUCACCCACCACGUUCGCACUACCUUUCUUAUCAUUAAUCUCUAAAUUGAAUGCUUGAAGUAGAAGAACCAACGAAUUAACCUUGGUUUUGCAUCCUUCUUAGACAACAAAUACUUCAAGGCAACAUGAUCAGUUUAAAUUACUUGCUGAAACUUGUUUUUUUUUGUUGUUCAUGAACUGCUCUAAUAGCAUAAUAUGAUGCAUCCACAUCAUUUCGAAAGUAGGCUCCAAUCAGGUGCGGCGAUGAUUGGUGCAGUGGUCAAAAGCGUCUUCAACUUGUUGGAGAAAUCCUUGAUGAAUCAUCUGUAGAAUCCUACAUGCUCAAGAAAUGAUCUCACACCUUUUACAAUAUGGGGGGGGGGGACAUAUUGGCAAUAACAUCAAUCUCUUGGCUUUAUCAACUUUAAUUCCCUUACUAUUGUAAUCUAUACACAAAGUAAUACAAGGGAAUCAUAAUUCUACAUAAACCAUAUAGAAGGCUCUGUCAACAGAUAUGUCGCUUAGAAUUAUAGCACACCCGAGAAAGAAAUAUUAACCAUGUCCCUCGUUUCAGUUCUCGGGUUGGCUACAAGUUACACAUCUCAGCUAUCGUGCUUGCCAAUUACCUAUAGUCGAACUAACUUUGGUUAACUCCUUACAUCACCAUUAUUAAUUAUACGUACAAUUAAUCUCUUCACGACUUAAGUGUAGGAGUCAAAGUAUUUUUUUCGGAUGAGUUGUAUGAUUUAUUAUUUUCUUUUCCUAAUUAAUAAUUUGGGGUGACUUAUCAUCGUUUUGUAUUGAUUUUCGAUGUCUUGGUUGAUAGUUGACAUGUUCCACCAGCCAAAAACUCACUAAAUUAUUUAGUUGAAACUUAGCCAGCAUGCAGAGGGGGGACGCAGACUGGGACUUGGGCAUUGUCUAAAACCAAAAACUACGAACAAGAAAGUACUCCCAACUUUAAAGCUCAUUGAAGUUCCAGGUCCCCUCCUUAUGGAGAGAUAUUUCAAUGUAUGCAGAACUAAACAUGAGCGGGUACGUCUUUUGUAAUUAUACAAGUGGAGGGAAGGAUUUUUAUUUUUUUUUCCAAAUGUCCCUCGACUUGCAUGAUGACAUAUGGUGUAUGUGCCUUUGUUGUGAGCACACUAAAAUAUCUCUCCUCCUUAUGAAACCAAUAUCACUCAUUGUAACGUGCCUAGUUUUUUUUUUCUUUUUCUUUUUUCAAUUAAUGCGGAGGAUGAACUCAGUUAUAGACCUCUUUAGUUAGCAGUGAGGGAAGUAGUGCAACUCUUUUCAUACAAGAUUUCUUAACUUUCGGAUAGACCUGGCAAACGGGCAUUGUAUGUCAUGUCGUUUUUAUGUCAUACAUGUUAUCUUAAAGGGUUGUGUCAUGUCAAACUCGUUACCUUAACAGGUUCUUGACAAAUGAGCCAAUAACGACUCAAUUUGUUAAGGGCCGUGUUAUUUCAUAUCGGGUUAACAAAUCAUGCAAGAAAUUGUCAUGUCUAAUGUCUAGAUCUUGCAAAUGAUAUCUUAACGGAUGACCUUAUAACGACCCGACUUGUUAACGAGUUCUUAAUAUGUGACCCGAUAACGAUUCGGCUCAUUUACAAAUUGACUUGAACCUUGUUAUUUUCAUGUCAAAUUAACUGAUCGUGCAAGAAAUCGCCUGACCUAUUUUGGAUGUUGCAAAAUCCUCUACAUUCUCACAGUGGCACUCAAAAUAAAACACCUGGACAACACAAACAAAUUAUACAGCGACGUUCAAAUUUUAUCUCGUCUGUCAUUGCCUGGUAUAAUCGAUCUAAGACUAUUUCGGAUACAAUUUGACAUAGAUCCUGUUAGAUGCUUGCUUACAGGUGGGAUAGUGGCCUUGAGCUCAAUAUUUGAAGUUUCCAAUUCAUGGCUUCUACAGCUCCAUAAGUCCGACAGUAGUAGAAAGAGUUAGCUCUGCUAGCCGCUGCAGAUACCGGUGGUCUGUUCAAGACUUCAAGUUGAAUAAUGUGGUUGGUUAAGUCAAACACGUUCACAAUACAAAUAAAGUGACAUUGGGCACGUACAAUCCUUAGGCUCACACGUAGACGGUAUCAAGAUCUAAUAUUGUGAAGAGAUUCGCACAUCAAAAAAUUAGGGGAGUUGGGCCACUUACUCCCCUAUUAUCUAUUGGAUUUCAAAUUUGAAAUAUGUUUCGCUUUCAUUACUGACAUGUCGUUAGUUAUUAACAUUAAUAUUAUUUUUUUUAAAAGACCAACUAGUCGCUUUGCCACGACAGUCUACCAUUUCGAGAAUUAGAAUUGCUCACAGAUGUAUUUCAAUCUCUUUAGCGAUCAUCAAGUGAUUCAUCAGUGAUAGAAAUCAAAUUCAAGACAUGCAGUGUGAAUUAUAGGUUUUUAAACAUUUUGUACAAAUACGAAAGGUAUCAAGAAAAUCCAAACAAAAAAUGGUAGGAUAAUUCAGUUACUUCUCGAAUUUUUUAUGGGGAAAAAGCAAUAAAUUCGUGUUUUGCUUGUGUUUCGUUCCACUAGACAGUCACUUUUGCAUAUUGGCAGAUAUUUGAUUCUGAAAUUAUGAUAUUCUUCUUAUUAUUAUUUGUGGGUCGGGUGGUGAAACCUUUGAGAACAACAUCGGGUCGGGCCCAUCAACCUUUAGUUUUUGCCACUUCCUCGCGAUCAUGUGGGCUCAUUAAGCUUUAAUAUACACAUUUAAUUGGGCACGUGAGUGAGAGCAACUGGCGUGGAGACAGAGAUAUUUUUUCAUAGUCCAAAACACUGAAAGAAACAUUACGUGUCAUUAUAUAAUUAGAGAUGCAUUUGAAAAGAGAAUUUUUGUACAAUUAUAUAAUGACAUGUGGUGUUUUACCUCGUGUUAUAAGCACAUUGAAAAAUCUCCCGUUGAGAUAAGGUUUUCUCUAAUGCACAUUUAAGUUACACAUCUGAAUAAGGAGCGGUUAAAACAUUUAGUCAAAUGAAAGACCAUUUUUCAAAUGUGUAGGUUUGAUAAAAAGUGCAAGAUAGAUUUUGACCCUUACAACUCAUUAUUUCUAGAUAAAAACUUUUCUGUCUUUAAAGAUUCAGUUUAAACUCAAAUUUAAAAUUUGCAAACAUAUGGGAACACUAUUGACCUAUUAAUACAAUUUAUUUACACCAAUGCCACUCAUACUUUAUGGUCCAUUUUUCAAAUUCGUAAAUUUAUGCUAAAUUAAAAGUAGUAGAAAAAGUGAAAUAAAAUGUACAAACUGUUUGGAUUAAUUGUAUCCAUGUCAAACUAUAAAAGUAGUUUUUUUUUUGUGAUCCAUAUUAAUUGGUUGGUAAAUUAGUUUGUUCCAAUUAUUUUAAAAAAAAUACUACACCUAUAUUAUAUAUUUUGAAUCAAAUAAGAUUACUCUAACUUGUAGGUAAAUUGUUUUCUAUGUAUUAUUAUAUAUGUUAGACACGUUUUAUUGUUGUAUAAACAUGAGUGAAACAUAUUAUUGUUGAUUUUAUACAUCAAACUGCAUUUCUUUUGUUAUAGGUAAAUUAUUUUUCAUGUACAAGUACUUAUGUUAGGCACGUUUUGUUGUUGGUACAUACAACAUUUUGUAUCAUUGUAAAGAAAGAUAUUACACUACACCCAUGGUAUAAUUGUUUUAGGUAAAUUAUUGGAAAUUAAUUUGUAGUUAGGUAAUGAACAUUUUGCAUCAUUGGAAAUGAACAGUUCAAAUAGUAGGUAGGUAAAUUAAUUUGUUCUAAUUAUAUUAAAAGAAAUUACACUACAACUAGUUAUAUUUAAUUUUUCCAAUUAUUACAAAAAUUUAUACCACACCCAACCAAAUAACAUUUCUCUAACUUGUAGGUAAAUUAUUUUCCAUGUAUUGUUAGAUAUGUUAGGCACGUUUUAUUGUUGUAUAAACAUGGGUGUAACAUAGUAUUUUUAAUACUAUGUAUCAAACUACAUUUCUUCUUAAUAUAGGUAAAUUAUUUUCCAUGUAUUAGUACACAUGUUAGGCACGUUUUGUUUUUGGUAUAAACAUUAUUUUGCAUCAUUGUAAAACUGAGAUAUUAUAUUACACCCAUGGUAUUAUUGUUGUAGGUAAAUUAAUGUGCAUGCAGAUAAUGAAAUACAAUGUUCUAAUAAAAACUGAAUCGAAUAAUUUUAUGAAAAUUCAAAGCCUUUCUAAAAAAUUAAUGCAAUAAAUUUUUAACAUUAAUGUCUUGUUUUUUAUUAUUACAGAAUCAUUUACUCUCUAAUUGUCUACAUCAAAUAUGUAAUACGGGUAUUUUAGGCAUGUGAAAAAUGUAAAAUGUGUGAAGUCAUAUGAAAUUAAUGAAUUUGCUUAUGUGGAUCCUAAUCACUAGGUUUUCUUUGAGUAAAAAAAUUAUGUAUGGUUUUAUAUGAAGAAAAUUAAGUUUGAAGGGCUAAAAUCAUAUUUUCAAGAUAAUUUAAAAUACCAAUAAUAGUUCCCAUUUUAUUAUCAAUUGUACUCAAAUAGUAUGUCAGUAAACUCAAUUUUUUUUUAUGACCAAAUACGAUAAACUCAUUAUUCAACAGGAGAAUUUAGAAAAUUCAUGGAGCUCAUUUAGUUUCUUUCGAAAAAUAGUUGACUUCUUCUUACAUGUCGAUCAAUCAUUUUUGUACAUAAAUCUUAAUUAAAAAUUUUACAUGUGAUUUAAAUGGCUUCUUACGAUCAUUUUCAUUAUUUUAAAAGAUAGAAAUUCUCAAUACAAGUGGUUUUCCUCCCUCUUCGCCUAAGAUAUCAGUGUUGAUUAUAUACAUUGUAAGCCAAACAAUUUACAUGUGUAUUAAGUUUAAAUUACUUCACACAUAAGUACGUGCGUUGAGAGUAAUUUCAACUUCAUUUUUUAUCCUCUUGCAUAAGAAUUAUACAUUGCAUUAACAUUACAUCAAAGUAACGCAGAUACAGACUUUGCUACAAUCAAUUCAAGUACUCAAUAUAAUCACUUACUGUCAUUUAGUACUACAGUUUAAUGGUAUUCUUCUUCAAUUAUAAGUGAGAGGUCUUUCUUAGGUUCGAUCUCGUUAAAGACAGAUUUAAACCACAUUAUUACUACAUUGUGAGGCUAAGCUCAUCCAUCUCUUAGUGUAGAUAAUAUCGUUUGUUAAAUAUAUGUAUAUAUAUAUAUAUAUACAUAUAUAUAAUAUCACUCGUGACGAUUUAACAUGAUAAAUGACUUCAAUGUAUCUUAACCAAUUCUCACAAAUAUAAGAAUUGUGAUCCUCUUUGAAUCUUUGUGUUUGGACCACUCAUUUGAAUCCCACAACCUCUGUUAGCCCAUCCACUGGCCACCUCACACAAACCAAAGGUAUGAAUCUCUAUUUCCCUCUCUUGAAUGGUCCAAAUUUUUUAGUUUGUCGACUAUAGUCUUCGAAAUUUAGAAAGGAUUUGAAUUAUGAAUACAAGAUAAUUUGUAUGCUUUUUAGCCAAAAUGGUCCAUAAAAUUUACAUAACUCCUCACUUUGAUAUUUGGCAUUAAAGAUCGAUAGAAGUGAUUUUUUAGUUUGUCCACCGUCAAUUAUUUUGGUCAUUAUGUGAAAAAUUUCUUUUAAAUUGAGGUCAUUUUUGUUCAAUCAACUCCUUCACUUGCUUUUCCAAUUAACGAAGAUUUUUCAUGGAAUGAUCAAAAUGAUUGACGGUCGGCAAACUUAUAAACCGCUCAUAUUGAUUAUCAUUAUCAAAAAUCAAAAUAAAGAAUUAUAACAAAGAAAAUUUUAUUUAAACCCAUGUAAUCUCUUUCUACACCCAACUUAAAAUUUAAGCGUUAAUUGUGUAUUUUACCCUAUUGCAUAAUUACUAUUAAGUACAAAAUGAAAUUAAUAAUAAAACUCAAAAUUCUCAAUAAACCCAGACACUAUAAUUAAACCCUAGCAUCACCAUUUGUUUAUCCUACGUCCAUUCCAGCUAAAACCCUAAUAGUUCUGAUAGAGAAAAACAAGCUUUUUUUUAUUGAUGGAUAGUGAUUUUGAAGUUUUGAAUCAUCCAACUACGGUAUGACUCGAUUUAUAGAUAUUUUGUUUGUUUACUUUUUCUUUGGAUUAAAUUUCAUACUUAUUAUAUUAUAUUGUAUUUGUUUUUCUCAGUUUGCCCCCAAAACACCAUUGCAAGGACUUUUAAUUAGUAGUGCAAAGACAUAUAACUUGAUUUUUGGUGCAAACAACGAUUGCCCAACCUCAUAAACCUUGACCACUCACUAGCGGGUGGCAUGUCUUCAUCCAAAUCCAAAGCAUCAAGGUCAAAUGUUUUUCUGGCAAAGUGAUGGACUGAACUGGAGCUUACAUCGCAUUCUCUAGCAAAUUCAAAUAUAUGGAAUGAUCUCUUGGAUCCCAAGUCUAUGGAUGGGUUUGGUAGCAGGAAAAAAAAAAGCCAUGGAAAUGCUAGUCAUAUGUAAUUAUACAGGGGCAAAUGACGCCUCUUUGAAGAAAAAAAAAACAUUCAGUUAGAGAUGUUAUUUUAUAAAGAGAAUGAGUGUAAAGAUGACUUUACAUUUUGAAUUGGGUUUGAGAAGAUAGUUUAGGUAAUACAUUUGAGUUUAUAAAAAUAAUAAUUAUUUAAUUAAAAAAAAAAUGAAUGAAGAGAAUAAAUUAGGUGUAAAAAAAGAUUAGUUGAGUUGAAAUAAAAUUUCCCUUUGGAUUAGCCGCGCGUAGGCAUGGUUGAUGCAUUUACAUCAAAACAUCACCUCACCGUGACUUACGAGGUCAAAAAACACUUCACUAUGACUGCCAUUUCCCUGCCGAAUGCAUGUGCUAUUGGCCAGAUUGUACUCAGAUUCUCAUCCCACGUGGCGGCCUCUUAUUGGCAAACUGAAUUUUGUAAUUUCCGUUGGAUAAUGAUGGGUUAUGUUGCUUUGAGAGGAACAUACUCUAAUCCAGGAAACAUUCGCGGAUUAGCGAAAAGCCCGAGGCUGUUAACCUCAAAAAUCAAUAUUAUAAUACGCGGACAGGACAAAUCAAUGAAACGACGGCGUUUCGCGUCAACGUUAACGGAGGCCGUCAAAUGGCUGUCGUCACUCGACCAGGCUUUUGCCAUCGGGCGGGACCCACACCAUAGAAAUCUUGGCGGGGCAUCAGACGGCGAGUUAAGGGAUGAGAGAACGGAUACAAAUUGCCUUCCCGAGGCAAAGUGAUAAAGGCAGGCAAGCAAACAAAAUUGUAUCGUGGCAAACGUGUUAUUGUAAUAGGUGAUUUAAUAUUAUGCAACUGGUUAACGAGUGAUGUCGUUUUAUAUUCAAGGAUAGAAUUCUUGUCGGAUCUUUUUUGUGAGUAUCUUGAAGAUUUUUUAAUUACAUUUGUACAUUGUGAUGUCAAUUUUUGUCAGAUAUUGUUUA
rnacentral:lncRNA from 1 species